UUUUUUUUUUUUUUUAGUUUUUUUUUUGAGAUCACGUCGAGGACAGGAGAAUCCGGUAGAAAUCCGACGAAUUCAGCAGCGGGGGGCGACGAGAUCGGGAUCUGGUGGUGACGAGAGCUAGCAGGCAGUAGUUUUGUAGUAGAGCCUGGCUCUAAUCCGGAUCGGGAGCUGGUGGUGACGGGCUCUAAUCCGGAUCGGGAUUGGAUCAGCAGUGCCUGGAAUCCAGACGGGAUUGGAGCAGCAGCGCCUGGACAGCUUGAUGGAAUCAGCGACGGCUGGCAGCCUGGUGCGAGUCCUGAUGGAUUCCAGAUCUUGGAGCAGCAGCGCCUGGACAGCCUGAUGGAAUCAGCGGCGGCUGGCAGCCUGGUGCGAGUCCUGAUGGAUUCCAGAUCGGGACAACCUGACUUGGCGGGACAGGGAGGGAGCUGGGCGCCGGGACAAGAAGCUGCGGCGUCCAGAUGAGAUCGAGGCAGGGGCGACCGAACCAAGCGGGAGCUGGACGCCAAGAUCGAGGCAGGCGGUGACUGCAGGGAGACGAGAUUGGAUCGAAGCACGAGUUGCGCGUGCGAAAAAGACCUAAUGCUCUAAUACCAUGUUAGGAAUAAGCAACUUGUAUUCCCAUGAGGCCAUAGGCCGAUAUAUAUAUACAUGUACAGGUGAUGGACUAUAUGCAGGAAAACCCCUUAUAUAUUGGGAUAAAUACAAAAGGGUACAUGACUUGUAUUAUAACUCUAACAAAACACUUAAUCCUUCCCCUGGGCGAGCCAGUCAUCUCCAUCUCUGUGUGUGGCGAUCCUUAGCUAGUUUGUUCAGAGUGUGUGAUGUGGCGUGUGUGUUUGGUGUGUGUUGGAGGCAUGGGUGCUUUGCCCCCCUCUCUCUACUUUACUUCCACCUUAAUGACAUGAUCAGCAGCUCCUUGUGUUUUCUAGAAAAAAAACUGGUUACAUAAUGAACGUUGUAGUCCUGAAUUUUAAUUUUAGUCAUACUCUUAAUUCUUUUGAUUUUCAAAUCAUCAACGACCUAUUCUGUUUCUCAUACAAGUCUUGCUUUUAUAAUCUGCAGGAAUAUCUACAUAUGAUAGAGGAAGCUAAGAAACGUGAUCAUAGGUUAUUAGGGCAGUCCCAGGAACUCUUCUUUUUCCAUCCACUUAGGUACCUUCGCAUUUUUCCUAUCUGAUUUUGUUCCUUUUCAUAUUUUUAAUUUCUACAUCUUUACUUACCGGCCUGCUGUUAGAUAGCUCUUUGACAAAACUUUGCAACUAUGCAGCCCAGGUAGUUGCUUCUUCCUUCCAAAUGGCGCUAUAAUAUACAAUAAAUUGAUGGAUUUUUUGCGCAAGGAGUAUAGAGAGAGAGGCUACCGAGAGGUGGGUUUUAAUUUGUACUUCCUCUGUAAAGAAAUAUAAGAGUGUUUAGAUUAGUGAUCUAAACACUCUUAUAUUUCCUUAUGGAGGGAGUAGUAAUUAUCUUAGAUCGUCGACCGUUGAACUAUGUGGCCUUUUGUUUUUCUAUUCCUUAUGUGUGUUUAUUUAGGUUUUGAGUCCAAAUAUUUACAACAUGCAACUUUGGGAAACCUCUGGACAUGCUGCAAACUACAAGGACAACAUGUUUGUUUUUGAGGUAAGCACAUUUGCAGAUACUAAAGGAAAAUCAUAAGCGUGAUGAUCUAGAUUAUAUGGGUAGUGUGGUCUGACCUUUAUGGGUGCUUGUUUUUUCUCGUCUUGUGCAGAUCGAGAAACAAGAAUUUGGCCUUAAGCCAAUGAAUUGUCCUGGCCAUUGCCUAAUGUUUGGACACAAGGUUCGAUCAUAUAGAGGUAAAGUCCUCUCUUGCUGUUUAGAUUCCUUAUAUCUUGGUCAUGUUAAAAGUGCAGUCAUUCUGCAUGGUUAAAAAUGCUAGGUAUUAAAGGUAGGUCUACUAGGCCAUACAUACUAGGUACCCUCACUGGUUAUUAGAAAAAGCGCAUGUUAGGCCGAGUGCAAUUAUUACACACAUAGCUGCAUCAAGGUGGCGCACCCUAUCUAGUCAUCAGUACUUGGUUUCUUAGUUUCAGUCAACAACAACAACAACAACAAAGCCUUUCAGUCCCAAACAAGUUGGGGUAGGCUAGAGUUGAAACCCAUAAGAUCUCGAAGCCAAGUCAUGGCUUUGGAACGUGGAUAGCUAACUUCCACGCACCUGUGUCCAUGGCUAAGUCUUUGUCGAUAUUCCAAACCUUCAGGUCUCUCUUAACGGACUCCUCCCAUGUCAAGUUUGGUCUACCACGACCCCUCUUAACAUUCUCAGCACGCUUUAUCCGUCCGCUAUGCACCGGCGCUUCCGGUGGCCUCCGUUGAAUAUGUCCAAACCAUCUGAGAUGAUGCUGGACCAGCUUCUCUUCAAUCAGUGCUACCCCAAGUCUCGUAUAUCGUCAUUCCGUACCUGAUCCUUCCUUGUGUGGCCACAUAUCCAUCUCAACAUGCGCAUCUUUGCUACACCUAACUGUUGGAUAUGUCGUCUCUUGGUUGGCCAACACUCUGCGCCAUACAACAUCGCAGGUCGGAUAGCUGUCCUAUAAAACCUGCCUUUUAGCUUUUGUGGCACUCUCUUGUCAUAGAGUACGCUAGAAGCUUGGCGCCACUUCAUCCACCCAGCCUUGAUUCGGUGGCCCACGUCUUCAUCGAUAUCGCCAUCUUUCUGCAACAUGGACCCCAAAUAUCAAAACGUGUCUCUCUCCGGUACCACCUGCCCACCAAGGCUAACCUCUCCAUCCUCGUGCCUAGCACUAAAACUACACCUCAUGUAUUCAGUUUUAGUUCUACUAAGCCUAAAACCUUUCGAUUCUAGAGUCCACCUCCAUAACUAACUUUCUAUUAACCCCCGUUCGGCUAUCGUCGACUAGCACCACAUCAUCCGCAAAGAGCAUACACCAUGGGAUAUCUCCUUGUAUAUCCCUUGUGACCUCAUCCAUCACCAAAUCAAAAAGAUAAGGGCUCAAAGCUGACCCUUGGUGUAGCCCUAUUCUAAUCGGAAAGUCAUCGGUGUCGCCAUCACUUGUUCGAACACUUGUCACAACAUUAUCAUACAUAUCCUUGAUGAGGGUAAUGUACUUUAUUGGGACUUUGUGUUUCUCCAAGGCCCACCACAUGACAUUUCGAGGUAUCUUAUCAUAGGCCUUCUCCAAAUCAAUGAACACCAUAUGAAGGUCCUUCUUUUGCUCCCUGUAUCUCUCCAUCAGCUGUCGUACCAAGAAGAUGGCUUCCAUGGUAGACCUCCCAGGCAUGAAACCAAAUUGGUUUUUGGUCACGCUUGUCAACCUUCUUAAGCGGUGUUCAAUGACUCUCUCCCAUAGCUUCAUAGUAUGGCUCAUCAGCUUGAUUCCGCGGUAAUUAGUACAACUUUGAACAUCCCCCUUGUUCUUAAAGAUUGGUACUAAAAUACUCCGCCUCCAUUCUUCGGGCAUCUUGUUUGACCGAAAAAUGAGAUUGAAAAGCUUAGUUAGCCAUACUAUCGCUAUGUCUCCAAGGCCUCUCCACACCUCAAUGGGGAUACCAUCAGGACCCAUCGCCUUGCCUACUUUCAUCCUUUUUAACGCCUCCUUAACCUCACACUCCUGGAUACAUCGCACAAAGCACAUGCUGGUAUCAUCAAAGGAGUCGUCUAGCUCAAUGGUAGAGAUGUCAACCUCUCCAUUGUAAAGGUUGUCAAAGUACUCCCGCCGUCUACGCUUGAUCGCCUCAUCCUUCACAAGAAGCUGAUCAUCUCCGUCCUUGAUGCAUUUGACUUCAUCGACAUCCCUCGUCUUCCUCUCCCUAAUCUUGCCAUCUUAUAGAUGUCCCUUUCGCCUUCCUUAGUGUUGAAACGUUGGUAGAGGUCCUCAUACGCCCGACCUCUCGCUUCACUCACCGCCCGCUUUGCAGCCUUCUUCGCCACCUUAUACUUCUCCAUGUUAGCUGCACUCCUGUCCAGGCAUCUGAAACAUUCCUUCUUCUCCCUAAUAACCUUCUGGACCUCAUGGUUCCACCACCAAGUGUCCUUAGCUUCCCUUCUACUUCCCUUGGUCACCCCAAACUCCUCUACAGCGACCUUCCGCAAGAAGGUCGCCAUACUCGUCCACAUCAAGUUUGUAUCGCCUCCUUCCUCCCAAGGGCCCUCCUUAAUGACCCUCUCCCUGAAAGCCUGGGAUGCCUCCCCCUUGAGCUUCCACCACUUCGUUCUAGCGACUUUGGCGCGCUUAUCCCGUUGGACACGAAUCCUAAAGCGGAAGUCAGCAACCACAAGCUUAUGUUGAGGGACAACACUCUCUCCUGGUAUCGCUUUACAAUCAAUGCAAGCGCGUCUGUCUUCUCUUCUAGAGAGGACAAAAUCAAUCUGGCUAGAGUGUAGACCACUACUGAACGUCACUAGAUGGGAUUCUCUCUUCCUAAAGAGGGUGUUAGCUACAACCAUGUCGUAGGCUAGAGCGAAGCUCAGGACAUCUUCUCCUUCUUGGUUCCUGAUGCCAUAGCCAAAGCCCCCAUGCACCCUUUCAAAACCUGUGUUAGAUCCACCCACAUGGCCAUUGAGGUCUCCUCCUAUGAAGAGCUUCUCACCAAUAGGUCCCCUCCUAACCAAGUCCUCCAGGCCUUCCCAGAACUCCCUCUUGGUGCUCUCAUUGUGGCCUACUUGCGGGGCAUACGCGCUGAUAACAUUGAGGACUAAGUCCCCAACUACCAGCUUGACAAGGAUCAUCCGGUCCCCUUGCCUCUUAACGUCCACAACUCCAUCCCUAAGGCUCUUGUUGACCAAGAUGCCUACUCCAUUCUUGUUUGAAGUUGUCCCCGUGUACCACAACUUGAAGCCGGUAUCCUCCACCUCCUUCGCCUUUUGUCCCUUCCAUUUGGUCUCUUGGACACAUAGGACAUCAACACACCUCCUCACCGCCGUAUCAACUAGCUCCCGUAAAUUACCCGUCAGGGACCCUACGUUCCAGCUACCUAAGCGUAUCCUCUUAGUUUCAGUACCUUGCAAAAUUGAUAUGAUGGUGAUCAUAAAGCUUCUUCCUUUCUGAAAUAUUUUUCCUGUAAGAUUAUCUAUUUUAUUGGUACUGUGAGUCGCACACUUAUUAUCUAGCAGUCAGUGCUUUAUCUCAUUGUCAUUUUGGUGAACUGUUCUUUAAUGCGAAAUCUCAUGAUAUUCAAUUGCAUGCAGCAACUAAUUCACCCAAAACCUCAAAUUGAUGGAGAAAAGUUGGCAUUAUCGGUAUGCUCAGUUUGACAAGCUUGCCUGGCUUGUAAAACUAUUUGGCCAUGGUUUUGGUUGCCCAUUAGUUGGCCAGUGUUAGCAAAAAAAGAACUAGAGUUGGCAAAGAGGCAUUGGCAUGGCUACGCAACCAAUCCAGACAAAAAAAUGUAAAAAAUUUGCUGGAUUUUGCCCUACAUAAUAUGCUGUUGUAGGCAUGAGAUGAGGGAUCGAUGUAGGUUACAAUAAUUUUGAGAAUACUUAGUUGCCUGGGCCUUGAAUUCAAAGUCUCUUGGCUCUGAUACCAUAUUGAGCUGCAUGCACCAACCAGUUCACCUAAAAGUUUGAACUGAUAGAGUUUGGCUGGCAUCGUAUGGAGGACACAGUGCGCAACAAUCCAUGCCUUAUCUAGCUAGAGGAACCUGGGCCCAAGAUCACAAAGAUGAUUAGUUUUGCGUCCAGUGUCCAAUAAAUGUUAAGUACUCAAAUCAAGGAAACCUCUGCAUUCACAAUUUGAACUUUUAGUUGUCUACAACAAUAAAUUGGGCUUCUCUAAUACUCUUAGAGGGAAUUCUGUCUGCUGCUGUAAUAUGGAUUUGAUCAGUUGAGCUAAUCCUAGCAAAUUUGUUUAAUGAAAUGCUGCAGAGUUGCCUCUCCGCAUGGCUGAUUUUGGAGUUCUGCACAGAAAUGAACUUAGUGGUGCACUUACAGGUUUGACACGUGUCAGAAGAUUCCAACAGGUAAAGUCUAAUGUGGUUCCAUGAAUCUUCAGUUUCCAAGAUAAAAAGAAGUUACUAUUUCUGAUUAGCUCCAUACUUAGAUCAUUGUUUUGUUUUAUGUUCCUUUCAGGACGAUGCCCAUAUUUUUUGCACGGAGAGCCAAGUAAGUUUGUGAUACAUAGACUAUCCCUUUUUGAUGCAAUUGGAAUUGUAUUAUGCUUCCUUGUAAACAUUUUUGCUGCAUGAAUAUUUUCACAUCCCAGACAGUAGUUGUAUCGUGGUUUGGAUUAGUUUAGCACUUGAGCUGGUUUGUGAGUUUGUGUUAUUGCGUACCUAUUUAAGUUAUUUCGUUGGUGCAGAUCAAAGAUGAAGUUGGGGCUUGCUUGGAGUUCAUUGAUUAUGUUUAUAAAAUAUUUGGGUUUCAGUAUGAGUUGGAGUUAUCAACGGUAAUCAUAAUCUCAUCCUUUUAUUUACUGAUAACAUCUGCAGCAACAACUUCUAAUACUUACUCCCUCCGUCCCAAAAUAAGUGUAUUAAGCUUAGUACAAAUUUAUACUAGAGCUAGUACUCCCUCCGAUCCUAUAUACUCUGCGUAUAACUUUUUUUGUUUUUUUCCCAAAUGCUCUGCGCGACCCCCGUUGAGUAGGGCCACUUUCCCAGCAUGCCCCUGCCUUCCGCUUCGCUAGCAAUUAAUCCUCUUAAUUGGGGCAGCCUCCUAGUUUACAUGCAGAGACAUAAGUAGAGGAGAGAGAGAUUACCUGGGACAUGCAGGGAGGGAUACGAGGAGACUAAUACUCUAAUCUCCACAAAAGCAGGGGCAAACUUGUCCAGAAAAUUUCGAACGGGUCUCUCCUUAGUAUUUGAGCCAUGAGUUAUGCGCAAAAGUAAAAAAGAACGGGGGGAGUACAAAGUUAAGACAGUUAUUUUGGGACAGAGGGAGUAUUUGACAAUUCUCAUGAAAUGAUGAUGCUGAAAGGUUGCAACUUUACUUCACUGAAUGAAGUAAAAUUAUGAAGUACUCCCUCCGUCCCAAAAUAAGUGACGUGGUUUUAAUUCAAAUUGAAUUAAAACUAUGUCACUUAUUUUUCAACUGAGGGAGUACAAUUUAGUGGACAGCCUUGUUUGAUUGCUUCAUUCUCUUUAGCACAUACUCCCUCUGUCCCAAAAUAACUGUCUCAACUUUGUACUAGAUCUAGUACAAAAUUGUACUAAGCUUAAGACACUUAUUUUGGGACGGAGGGAGUAUUUGAUAACCACGACUGAAGUUGAAUCAUAACAUCAUGCAUAUAUAUUGACAGUAUUAUUUAUUAAUAUGGCACUUUAUCAUUUUAUAUUUAUCCUUACGAACGUACUGAAAAUCUUAGCAAUGAGGCAUCAUGGUAUUCAUAGUCACAUUUCACCUGUUAUUAUGUUUGUGGAAUAUAUAUAUAUUUGUGGGUUAGUUAUAGGUGGAUGAACCGCUGGCCUGGUUAAUGAAAUGCCUAACGAUCUCUCUUUUGGCAUUCUAAGGCAUCUAACACUAUAGUCAAUUGAUGUCAUGUCAUCCUUUCUCUGCGGGACUGCACAUUUUCCUAUACUUGGCGUGUACAGUAAUAUGUGAAUCAAUUCUCAGCAUCUUGAAGAAUACAUAUGAACAUGUGAAUAUUGUUAAAGAUGAUAGAGAGCAAAAUGGCUACUCCCAAAUAUUCAUCUUGUUCCACUAGCGUAUCCUACUCUCUCAGUUUAGAAAUAAGUGACGUGCUUUUAGUUCAUAAGUAGUUGAUCCCCACUAGGACGCGGACGAGGAGCUCGCGGGUGUUCACCACCCUAUAUCUGCACCUGUGAUUUCUUGCAUCGGGAUUGUUGCAUUAGAAGCUUAAUGAAGUAGCUGGUUAGGAAUACACCAUUCCAAUACGAUGAUACACAGUGAUCUCCUGCUGUGUGCUUACAAAGUCAAUGUUCUGAAUUAAUGUCAUAUGUGCUUGCAUGAAAAAAAAGUCUCAUGCCAGUUAUAAGUGUAGCAAUUAAUAUGACAUUUAGUGUUGGAUGGAGCUGACACCUUAUGCUGGGCAUUUAUUCAAAGACAAUAGAGAACGCGUUAAGCCUACCCACAGUGGGGAGUACCUUAGAGUAGUAACAUGCAUAUGUUACUAGUCUAUGUUACUACCUCUAGUGGGGAGUAACAUAUAUUUGGUGUCAUGCAACACUUAUUUUAUUAGGUUAUAGACUCAUCUUGUCUUGGUAUGUGUGAUGUUGUGAGUAGCUAGCUAUGUUACUCAAUUUGUCGCUCUCCAUACUAAUUAGCUGCCGCAUCAUCUUUUAUUCUUAGGUGUCAUCUAUGUUACUCCCACUGUGGGUAGUCUAAGUGUUACUAGUAUUAGUUGAUUCUGCAUUUAAUUUCUUCUUUCCUUGAUAGUGGUUUUCUUUUUCUACUUUUGUGGUGGAUUGGCCGAUUUUGAAUAUUUGUAGCAACCAGGGGCUUUCUAUUGUGAUUAUGUGACGAUUUUGUACAUGGGUAUUAGAUUACAUUAGUUCUGAUUGUGAUGAUUAAUUGCACCUUUCUUGGAAUUAGUAUCAUUAAAUUCCCAGCUUUCUUAGAAGAGAAUAAUACCUGAGAUUACUAUGGAAAAGGUUUCUGGAAUUAUUAUCAUGAUGUACUCAGGUUUUCCCUUAAGAGAAAAUAAAUAAAUAUGAAAUAUCUUGUAAAUCGCUCAAAUCUAAUUAGAUAUUUUCCCAGGAAUCAGUAUCGUAAAAUUUAAGUUUCCCAGAAAGUUGUAAUUUCGUGAAAUGGCUUUUAAGUUUGAGACGAAUGAGUUGAAGGCAGGUGAAAACCAGAUGAAAUGGCUUUUAAGUUUGAGACGAAGUAGUUGAAGGCAGGUGAAAUGACUUUUAAGUUUGAGACAAAGGAGUUGAAGGCAUUCAGUGAAGUUGUGACCAUUGCAGUAGUAAAUGUAGCUUUAGUUGUUUGUUGUAGGGUGGGCCAGUACAGGAAUACAACGCUAGCCUCUUUUAAAUCAAAAACAUACAUGGGACUAAAAUGACAAAUACAUAUUGUGGUGCAGAUCCAUAUGCAAUUUCGAUCCCCACUAACUCAAUUCUCUUAACAUGCAACUAUGCCAACUCACCAUGUCACCAUGCAUGCCCCACUAACUUUAAUUCUCUCGACAUGCAACUAUGCCGACUCACCGUGUUACCAUGCAUGGAAAUGACCCACCUUAACAAGCACCAUGCUUGCUACUCAUAUUCAAUAAACAUUCUACAAUGAUAUAAUAAUCAAAUAUAACAAAUUAUAUGUACUUUAGUUUCAGUUUCUAUAUUGCUAAUCCAAAUACUAAAGUUUCAUAAUGCCAAAUCUCAUAGAAAUAACUGCAAAAACCUAUCUCUGGGCUCUCCCUGUUAACAUAUUGCACUACAUAUCCCUCUACCACAAUAUUUGUUGUUGGAGAAAACUAGUCUAGUUCUCCCCAACAAGUAUUUAGGAACAGAGGGAGUAGCAUCUAAUAUAUAGUUGAUGGUUAUUAGUUAAUCCUCCAAUCUGCUCAAAAUAAUCUCAUGAAUGUUUACCUUUUCAGAGACCAGAGAAGUAUUUAGGCGACAUUGAGACCUGGAACAAAGCAGAGCAACAACUGACAGAAGCAUUGAAUGAGUUUGGGAAGCCAUGGAAGGUACCUUUGCGGAGUUGUGCAUUUAUACCAUAAUUUUCCUGUCACCCAUUGCUGCUAGAUGUGCAUUUAUAGCAUCUAGUACUUCCAGGGAAUGCUUGUUUUUUUUGGCUUAGUUGCAUAUAAGCUUAGGCAAAGUGUGACUUGCCACAAAGGUGUAGCUAACAAAAUCCACACAAGUUGGCCAUAUUCUGUAAAAGGCUAUAUGCCACAUGGACUGUGUGAACAAUUAAGUGUGGCAAGCCACAGUUGUGGUGCAAACCAAGAACAAACCUAAGACAGGGAUGUGUGUCCAGGAACCAAACAGGGUGGAUACCAGAUAUCUAUUUUUGCAUUAUAUUUCUCUGAUUCCUGUAGAAAGAAUGUGAAAUACUCCCUCCGUCCCAAAAUAAGUGUCUUAAGCUUAGUAUAACUUAGUAAUAGCUCUAGUACAAAGUUGAGACAGUUAUUUUGGGACAGAGGGAGUACUACUCAAGGUCAUUUACAGAAAGAAAGCAAAAUAUAAGCAAAAUGAUACAAAAGGUUCACUUACUGGGUUAUAUUCUUGCAACCCCAAGUUACGAAUGCUAAUAUUGAAGUUAUCUUUAAUUUGUCUUGUGACUGAUUUGGUUUGUAUCAGUGGUAGCCGUAUUUACCAAUGUUCUUGUUGCAUUGAAAGAAACUGCCAUGCUUGGCUCUUUCUUAAACCCCAGUCUGUCAGUACUUACUUGGAUAUCCAUGUGCAGAUAAAUGAAGCAGAUGGUGCUUUCUAUGGCCCGAAAAUAGAUAUUGGUGUGUUUGAUGCCCUCAAGAGGAAAUUUCAGUGUGCAACUCUACAGGUUCCCUUUUAUGUUCUGUUAACAUCAACUAUAGAGAAUAUAAUUGUCUUGUAUUUAACCCUUAUUGUCUGUUGCAGCUCGAUUUUCAGCUGCCACUUCGCUUCAAGUUGACUUAUUCUGCAGAGGAUGAAGCCAAGCUUGAGAGGCCUGUAAUGAUACACAGGGCAAUACUAGGAUCAGUUGAAAGGAUGUUUGCCAUUCUUUUGGAGCACUAUAAUGGUAAAUGGCCAUUGUGGUUAAGCCCCCGACAAGCCAUUGUUUGCUGUGUAUCUUCCAAUUCACUAGCAUAUGCAAAAGAGGUAAAUUGUCCUUAUCUGAGAAUUGAUUAACUUCAGAGCUCUUCUCUAUGCUGACUAAUAAUUGAUAUCUCCUACCUGACUGUUUUUUCACUUGGCGGUCCUUAGCAGUUUAAUGGUGUCUUUGUUGGUCCUUUGUGCUGAUCUAUUUGGCAGUUCUUUUCUUUUCCUUUUGAAUUCAGUUGCUAUGUUCAUGAACUUUGAAUUGGCCAGUGAAUUCAAAGUUCAUGAACGGCAUAUUUGAGUUUCUGUCAUAUAACCCGUUUCACUAUGAUAAUGCCCCACUUACCUCCUCCCCCCGCCACCACGCCGGGGGGGGGGGUGCAUGUUAAGUUGUGUUUUGUCCACAACUUUCGUUGUAAAACCUGUCCACAGUAUGGACGAAUUGAACCAUGUGAUUUUGCAUGCUUGUCAUUAUGUGUGCUAGGACAAAUUUCUAUCGGAACUCUUGCAGACGUGCCACAGUGGUGUUGUUUCACUCCGCCCCAUUAAAGACCACCUUAAAACCUGCUGUUGUUGGUUUUAGACCUAGUCCAGAAUGGGUAAAUUUGGUAUUCAUAAUGACCAGCUAUAGGGCACUUGCUCUCUACUGUCUUGUGCCUCUGCUCGCCCCAGGCGUGGAAGAGAGGCUCUGUGGUUCAUUGGAACUUUUGUUUAUUGAUCUGUUGUCUAAAGAAGUACACGCUAGUCCUUUAUGUACAACAGUUAACUUGAUCCACAAGUUGGAUCAGAACAAGAACUCCUGACCAAGUUACAGCUCUAUCUUCCUACCUUAAUUGGAUUCUAUGUAAUUUAAGGAUGAUUCAUAUCCAACAUGGACACUUAUACUCUUUCUAUUUUGUCCUACACCGUUCCUAAUAUGCAUGUACAAACCUACCCAGGCUUACCGCAUGGCUGCUGCAUAUAGGACUUGAAGCCCAUACCAUCGUUGGUAUUGCUUGUCUAUAAUUGUCCAAAAUGCAUUAAUCCAUGUCGAGGUUAAAUUGCAUAGUUACUUUUUGUUGGUGCAUAAUGCUUUUGGCUGGGAAGUUCUGUUUCAUUCCCUCAGCUUUUGAGUUCUCUGUUGAAGCCUUUACUUCAAAGAAAUUCCAGAUUUUUUUAAUCUUUAGGUUAUGAUUCUAGAUUUGGUUAACAGUGUUCUGAUAUCACUACAAUGUAGGCCAAAGGAUCUACCAGUUCGACUGAGAAUCAAUGUUUAUUUGUAGACCCAGCUCACUAGGUUCUAUCAGUGUCUGGCCCAAUCAUAUUCAAAAUCCUAGUUUGAUCCUGUAUCAGAAGGAACACUAGCUAUAUGCUUAACACACACAAGCCGAAUCAAAACUACUUUUCAUGGCACAUUACAGUAGGUUAUUAUAUCCAAAGCUGUGGGCUUCUUAUGGGCCUUUGGAAAAGUUAUUUAUUUGAGCUUUGUUUGCAAUGAGUCAUUAGUUCCUGGAAAGAAUGGGGAUGGAUUUUAAACAGUCUCAUGUUGAAAUGAUGGUUACUCAUUUGGAUUGUCUCUGCUGUGUUCUUAUUGUUUAAUCAUUUAAUGUUGAUCUAUUUCUUGAUUAAUGUAAAACAUAAGCAUACAAUUAGACGCUUAUAUUAUGUAGUCCGUGUUUAGAUUAGGCUCCAUUGUGGAUUAGCAUAUUCCAAAAGAUAUUGGAUGGACUAGUAUUGGAACUAUAUUAAUCAUAACAUAAAUUGUUUACAGUCUAAUAAUUGUUCUCUGGGAAAACUUGAUUUCACAAUGCAGGUUAAAUUUGGAUGUGUUUACAUUACAUUAGGACACAAAGCAAAAAUGCAAAGGUGGACAUGGUAUCAGGCGCACCCAUGUGCAUAGUAAAUUCAUAAAAAAUACUGGAAAAUUUUAAAAAAUUCUAAAAAUUCCUGGCAAGAAAUCCAAUCGACCAUUGUGCUCACGUGGGAAGUUUCUUGAAGUAUUGACACCCAUGGUUUUCUUAGUGAAGAAAAUACAAUUGUGAUCAUACUAUUCAUCAAACAGUGUAUUUUAAUAUAGCUUCGAUUUUGUCAUUUUUGCCCAGAUUACCGCGGAUAUGAUUUUUUCGUGAAACUUCAUACGCGAGUAUACUGGUUGACUAUGUAUAUUAAAAAAUAAAUUCAGUUUUUUUUUAGUUUUCUAGCAUUUUUUCGAAUUUAGUAUGCAUAAGGGGUGCGCGUGAAACCAUGUUCACCAAAUCCGUGUCACUAAUCUAUUUGCUUCUCAUUCUCAGGUUCAUGCUCAGAUACACGCAGCUGGUUUUCAUGUUGACAUUGACAUGACUGAUAGAACAAUUCAAAAGAAGGUAAUCGGAUCUUGCCUUUUAGCGCACUUGCUUACCUUCUGUUGUAAAGUAAAGAUUGGUGGGUUGUACAUGUACCUCACAAUAUUCGAAAAAAACUCUGAGCGGAACAUAGGAAUUCACAGAUGUCAAGAAUAUAUUAAACACAUUUAUGUGCAAAAAUAACACCUCUGCAUCUUUUUAAAAUUAUUACUCCCUCCGAUCCAUAAUACUUGUCGCUCAAACGGAUGUAUCUAGACGCAUUUCAGUACUAGAUACAUCCAUUUGAGCGACAACUAAUAUGGAUUGAAGGGAGUAUUGUUAUUAUUGAUUAUUGAAGUGCGCAACUAGGCAACUGAAAUAUCACAAAAUUUGCAUCCUUCAAAUCAUCAUUCCAGGUGCGGGAGGCUCAGUUAGCCCAAUUCAACUAUAUUCUAGUCGUGGGCGCAAAAGAGGCAGAGUCUGGAAAGGUUUGACUUCUCUCACCCUUGUAAAAAAGGCCAUUGCAGAUUAAACCUAGCAUAUCUGUUUUAUUUGUCGGGAAACCUUGAAAGGUUAGGGUGAUAUAAUCAGCUAUUUUGUUUUUUGAAUCUGUUGGGAAACUAUAGCAUGGAAUAUCUAUUACUAGUAUUAGGAAGGCUUAAUUUGUAUCUAUAUCCCCUGCUUUCAUUGUUGGUAACUUUGAAUUCCAUUCAGCGUGCAUGGACCAAUGCAUUAGGUGCUUGUUUAUUUAUUAAAGUACACAUGUGUCUGCGAAUGGUAAAUCAUGUACCAGGCCAUGUUUGACUGCGGUUUUACUGUUGGAAGUCCAAAACUGACCAUACAGUUUACAUCAGCAACAGAAGGAUCAUUUGGAGUAGUUCAUAUGCUUGCCUGGUUAUUUUGCCUGCCCUCGGAUUGAUUUGGCGCACUGAUUAUGGUUCCAUAUGAAAUGCUGAAUUAUCUUUAAUGACCUGUAUGUACUGUUGCAGGUCGUCCUGAGGGUAAGAGACAAGGCAGACCUAUCCACAGAGAGCAUUGCUGACGUCAUUGCACGUUUCAGUGACGAAGUUGCGUCUUUCAAGUGAUUUUUAAGUCCCAUAAUCUUUUUUGUGUUAGACAUGUACUGUGCAACCCACAUUGUAAUUUGGUGAAGUGAGGUGAAUGAAAAAUCAUUGAUAUUUUAUUUUUGUUGUCACAUGUACAUUAACUGCCAUUAAUCAAUUCUAAGGGCCUCCUUGAUUUGAAAGAUUUUCAUGGAAUUGUUUGGGGGAUUAGAACUUGGGAGCUUUGCCCAUGUUUGUUAGUAGAAUAGUAGGAUUGAAUCGUAACUGGGAAAAAUCAUUUAUUUUCCCUAUGGUACAACAUCGAACACAUACCAUGCGAUGACUUGGCAAAGAUGCCUUUGUGGGUUCCAAAUCAGUGUUGUUUGUCCCUCCUCUUAGGACAAUCUAGAAGAUUGGUGGCUUACUGCUUGGAAGAUCUUUGCAAAGAAGGAUAAAGAGGAUUUGACUCUUCAGUUAUCUUCAUUUCCUGUAACCUUUGGAGACAAACAAAAGAAUGCCUGUGUCUUUGUGAAUGUGAGGCAGCAACACCCUUACUCUGUAAAAAUUCCCCUCAAAGUCAAAAGAGGACGGUUCAGGAUCCACAAACUCUCUGAACUUUGAUGCAAGUGCUUCACCUUGCCAAUAUAGGCCGGUGGGAGUUCAAUGAUCCGUGCCCAGAUUUCAAACCUGAAUAGUUCUAUCGAAGAUGGUUUUGAGUAGCUAUCAUAUAGGGUGAUGAUCACCGGAUUACCUUGUCGGCUUCUCCCAAUCCCCAAGGCAGUCAAACUGCAUAACAAACAGGUUAUCUUCAAGAGUUUGAAUCUUCACAGGCCUUGCUAGAUCCCACGCAUUGCGCAUGUCCUGAAAGAACCAAUAAUUGCUAAAAUCUUUGUCGAUAUGAACCCUAACCAAGAUCAUCCAUCGGAGGUUUGACUCUGCUGGGGCAUCCUCAUCAUCAAACACCACGUCAUCCAGAUCUUCCUCCUUCAGUGCGAGCUCCUUCAUCAGAUUUUCUAGCUUUCCUUUCCCCUUAAAAUCUGAGGAUGCUCUGUUGGUGCGGUUCGCCAUGUUCCGAGCUUUGCCGACCCGAUCUCCAGGUAAAAACCCUAAACUCCCCUGGUAGAAACUGGAUUCCUCGACCCUCGCCAGAAAGCAGUCUUGCAACCACCGUAGCUGACCUGAGACGGAAGGUCCGAUCGCUGUGGGAGGAAGAUAAGUUCUCAGGAAGACAAACCCUAACGAGAGGGGAAUUUCUAGAAUAGACACGCAUGUGCAUAUAUGGCAGUAAAAAAACGUCAAAAAACUUUUUUUUGAGGGGUAAGGCCAACUUUAUUCAUCAAAUGCCACAAAUAAUGGGAUACAAUGUGGAUCAUGGGGUUGACCCAGCCAUAUGUGGCGGCACGGCCCCAAAGCUAGUGAAUACUUUGCUAAUUUGUGUGCUUCAAUAUUAGCGGCACGGCUUUCAAAAGAAAAAUUACAUUGAAAAAGGGAAGCUCUUAGUGUGAUUUCAUGGACUAUGAAACCGUUUCGCCUUCCUGCACCCUUCUUGAUCUCUGCGACUAUUUGCUUGGAAUCAGAGGCUAUGGCGACAUGUGUUAUGUUGAGAUCAUCUGCUAGCGCCAAGGCCUCAGGGCAGGCGAUGGUUUCUAGAAUAGCUAGGGUCCUCCAAGCCUGCAAUCACAAGCCCCGAGCUUCCCAUGUAGUUUCCUUGCCUAUCCCAACAAACAGCAGCAACUGAGCCUCCUCUCCCCUUUCUGACAGCAGCAUCGACAUGUCUCUUGGCAUAGCCAAUCGCAUCGGUGGCGCUCUUGGUCGAGGAACCCGCGUAGACGACAAGCCCUUGCUGGUGGUUGUUUCUCAAUAGUUUGAAGCUCCAAGAUAUACCUUUUAACAAAGGAAUUAGUCCCCGCCGGUGACUGAAAGAUGCCUUCAUGGAUGGCCUUGCGUAUGGAAGUCCAUAUCACCCAAAGGGUUACAACCGAGGUAACAAACUGCUCAUGCGAUAAUGUCUCCAUUAGCGCGAACAGCCAUUGCUUGGCGCUUGGUUCGGCCGUUGCCACUAUGGAUUGUGCCAGAUCUUGAUCAACUAAUGCCCAGGUACACCUAGAUGUUGUGCAAUCAACAAGAGAGUGCCUCCAUGAAUCUUGCGAGCCGCAUAGGCCACAUCGAGAGAUGUCGGUCAUAUGCCUAUGCGCUCGAAUAUCCUCUGUUGGCAAGGAGUGUUAGUCUCCAUAGGAACAUCCUCAGUUUUGCUGGCACUUUUGUGUUCCACAUGGUCUUCCAUGCACCUUCUUCCGAUACAACAGAAGAUGGAGCUGCAUUGCCUUCUAACCAAGCUUCGAGACGCUGUUUUGUUGAGACGAGCAUACGGUAUGCCGAUUUGACAGUGAAAAUACCGUUUGAUUCGAACUGCCAGCUCCAGAAAUCAUCUAUAUUUCGAGUGCAUAAGGGUAUACCCUUGAUGAUGCGAGCAUCCAUAGGGAGGAAAACCGACGAGAUCAGUUCAUGAUUCCAUGUAGCCGAGGUGUGAUCGAUAAGUUCUGAGACCAUAGCUGGUGGAUCUGCAACUAAACACCCAUAGGACCGAAGCAUCUCAUCUCUUGGUAGCCAUGUAUCUUCCCAGAUCCUCGUUGUUUCACCGUUCCCAAUCCUUCGGAUCAAUCCCUGCUUCAAAACAUCUCGACCUUCAACGAUAGCUCUCCAAAUCUGGCUAGGGUGGUUCCCUAAAGAGGCCUGCAGAAUUGUAGAAUUUGGGAAGUAUAUGCUCUUCAACAGCCGAGAGCUUAGAGAUUCAGGUGACUACAGUAUCCGCGAGGCCUGACGAGCCAACAUAGCUAGGUUGAAAAGCUCGAAAUCCUUGAAACCGAGGCCUCCCAUUCCUUUUGGCUGUGUCAUUACUUUCCAAGAAACCCAAUGGGGUUUCCGCUUGCCUUCUUUACUUCCCCACCAAAAUUUCCUAAUAAGCAUAUUAAGAUGUUCACAUAAUCCUCUUGGGAGCUUGAAGCAAGACAUUGAAAAAACUGUAAUGGCAUGUGCAAUUGAUUUGACGAGCACCUCCUUACCCGCUGUUGACAAAGUAUUCUCAAUCCAUCCCUGAACUUUGCUCCAUAAGCGGUCCUUUAAAUAUUUGAAAGCCCCAUUCUUAGAACUUCCAAUAUCUGACGACAUACCCAGGUAUUUUUCAUUUAAUGUUUCAUUAGGAACAUUGAGCAGAUUCUUGAUUUCUCCAUGAACAUUUUCUGACACCCCUUUACUGAAAAAUAUAGAUGAUUUGGCAAAGUUUAUGCGUUGACCUGAAGCUUGGCAAUAACUGUUCAAGACUAGGUUCACCUCGUUUGCUCCACUACUGUUAGCCUUACAGAACAGCAUGCUGUCAUCAGCAAAUAACAGGCGGUUAACCGGUGGUGCCGAAGUGGCAACCUGUACACCGUCCAAGUUGGAUGACUCUCUUCUGGAUCUUAACAGGCACGAAAGGCCCUCUGCUGCUGGCAAGAACAAGUAGGGAGAAAUUGGGUCCCCUUCUAUAAUACCACGUGCUGGCUCAAACUCUUCUAACCUCUUUCCAUUGAUCAUAACAGAGAAUUUAACUAUGGAAACCAGCCCCAUAACUAUGUUCGCCCAUUGUUCAGAGAAACCUAGUUUCAACAUAACUGCUCUAAGAUAAGGCCAUUCUACCCUAUCAUAGGCCUUCAUCAUAUCAAGCUUUAGGGCAAAAGCUUGGUGUUUCUUAGCUUUGUUUUUUUUCAUAAAGUGGAGACACUCAUAAGCUGCUAUGAUGUUGUCAGUAAUCAAUCUCCCUGGUACGAAAGCGGAUUGUUCCUGAGAUAUAAUGUCAGGUAGCACAAUUUUCAGACGGUUAGAGAUCAUGUUUCAAGCAAUCUUGUAUAACACAUUGCAUAGGCUGAUAGGACGGAACUGGGUUAACAUGGUAGGAUUUUUUACCUUUGGGAUGAGAACCAAAAUGGUCUCGUUAACGCAUGCUGCAGAUUCCGUUCCCCUACGAUUUUUAACACCACUUUCGUCACCUCCUCUCAAAAAACUGAACAGGGAAGAAAAAUCAGUCAUGGCUGACUGGACUGAGUCGCUACAGUAGUUUGAUCGGGCCGGGCCGCUCGGUCCAUCUGUGCGAAACAAGGGCAGCUUUGUUUUUUCCGGGUGAAGCAAGGGCAACUUGACGCAGAGAGCUCUCCCUCCUUCCUCCCCGUGCCGGCGGCCGCCGCCGCCGCAAAGCCAGAGGAGAGAGCAACGCCGGCCCCUGGUUCCCCCGAGUGCCGCCGCUGAACCGUCCCGUACUCUGCCCGUCGCCCCUCGGCGGCAGCAUCUUGGCCCUCGCGCGCCUCCGCCGCCGCUUCCUCUUCCUCUCCGCCCCAUCCCAGGUUCGUCCCGACACCCGGCUCUUCCGCUGGAGCACGAAUCACCAGCAUGGGAAAUUCGAGCACUCGGGAGCUAGCACGAACUGACAUUUCCCUCUGUACUUUCCUUAAUAAAAAUCUUUAAGGCGUGUGUGUUUCUGUGUUCCCAGCUAGCUGAUGGACAAGUCUGGUCGUCCAAGAUGGAAGAAGGGCAAAGACGGCAAGGACUUGGCAGCUCUGGCGGCAGCCCAGCCCAUGUCAGCCAUCGUCGCCAAGCUCCAGGCUUCACUGAAAGGAUCAAAGCUCGCGGCAACUCUGUCUAGCGGGGCCGGGGAUGCGAUCCUCGGCGUGAACCCGCAGCAAGCCGCGCUUCUGAGCCGCGCCGCCUUCGGCCGGGCGCUGGAAAACGCCGGAGCCGGGAGACACUGGUUCCAGCUGGGCGCCGAGGAGCUCUUCUACCUUCUCCAUGCCUUGAACUGCAUCGCGGUGGUUGAGUCGGCGAGCAAAGAUAAUCCAAUGAGCCAAGGGGAGCUGUGGGAUCGCUUGUGCUCCGCGUCAGAGUCAUUCCCUGAGACGUACAGGGCCUACUCGCAUCUCAGGUCCAAGAACUGGGUGGUGCGGUCAGGCUUGCAGUAUGGCGCAGAUUUCGUCGCUUACCGUCAUCACCCAGCGCUCGUCCACUCGGAGUUUGCCGUGGUUGUGGUUCCGGAAGGGUUGGGGCUCGGCGGUCGGCGCGGCCGCCUGAAUGUGUGGUCUGAUCUGCUGUGCGCACUCCGAGCUUCUGGCAGCGUGGCCAAGACGCUGCUGGUGCUGACGAUCUCCGGCGAUGUCCGUGAGCUGAGAUCCCCAGAUUGUUUGGAACAGCUGGUUGUUCAUGAAAGAACUGUUGCGAGGUGGAUUGCCCAGCAGUGCCGUGAGCAGCGAUGUGAACCGUGCGGAGAAGACGAAGCAUAUAAGGAAGAACAAGAUCAUGCCGGAGGAACUGUAGUUUUCAACUGUUGGGGUGUAAUGCUAGGCUUCGCAGCUCUUUCUGGCUUACUUGUAUACAAGCUGAGAUUCCGACAAUAAAGCUGGAUGUUUCUCUGUACUCCUAUUGGUGAUGUGUAAAAAAUUCUCAUCUUGUUGCAAUCCUGUGCUGGUACUCUUGUGCAUUUUGGAAAGAUUUCUAGAAAUGGUGCAUACAUAUAUCCAUACAACUGUAUCUGACUGCAGAGUGCAGGCAUCAUAUUAUGGUAUGCUCUGGAGUCUGGACUGGCCUUUUAUGUGCCUUUUCAAGGACUGCAGGACUAGAAGAAACCUCUGAAUGACCACCGGACACCAGCCUAUGGAAGAAAAGAGGUACGCUAGACACAUUUUCUUCAAAUAUUGGCAAAGAGUUUUUCCUUAUAUAGUUUCAGUGCUUAGUUCUUGAAUACAAUCAGGUCUUAAGUAUGCUAAACGAUGUAUCCCUGCCGAGGUGCAUACGCUUGCAUCUAGUUUUUCACAAAGUAUACAUUUAGUAAGCAUCAGAGUUGAUAUCUAUUGUAUUAUAGAACUGAAGGUACAAUGCCUGUUGUAAAGCAUGUAUGAUCAUAACAAAGGUGGCAACAUGAAGUCUGUAAAUACACAUAUCGUAUCAUAUUAUCAUUAUGUAUAUAUAUUAAUUUUUUUGACUGGAUCUGUCUCUGAAUUGAUAAAUCCAUACACAGUAAAUAAGUUAAUCACCAUAAUUAGAUAUCAUUAUGUGAUAUUAAAGCACAACUGUGGAAAUAACAGCAUGCACAAUGGUAGCUAUUCAUUCUUUCUUUUUAUUUGAGGCUCCCGCCUUUAGGUGCGCAUUGGCUACUCUAUCUUUUUUUCUUUUCUUUUUUUGAAAUGGAACACAAGGAUUCCAUACCUUAAACCGGCUCAGAAAAAGCGCUGGCCCUCAGAACACAGACAUCGUCUGGAAGUGCUGCAGUCCAAAGCUGCCUAGCAGCCUGACCUCGAGCACCUACAGCAGCUAUAGUGUGUGCUAGCUUAUUACAACCCCUUGGGCAAAAUCGAAACUCAAGAUAUUAAAAUUUUGUCUAGUAAAUAUUUUAAUCUCCUUGAAUAUGGCUCCCUCAGGAGCGAGAUCAUACUCAUUUCCAGUCAGUGUUCGGACCGGAUUUUGGCAAUCAGUCUCUACCUGCACAUUCAUCAUGCCCCACUGGGCAAAAUUGAUAAAAAUGACCCUGGGGGGAAAGAACUCACGGAAUGACCCCUCGGGGAAAAUAUGUCACCCGGCUGACCCUUUUGUGUGGCGCCCGACACCUAGGCGCCACACUACACUGUGUGACGCCUAGUCGUUCGGCGCCACACCCCCGACCACCUGGGAGAGAGGGCCCACCCCCAGGUCGUGUGACGCCUAAGCCUCAGGUGUGUAAUGUGUGACGCCGAACGCUUAGGCGCCACACAUUGACUUAACUGUCCACGGGCCAGCCCCCCUCCCCACCCCCUCCUGGGAUGCCAGUGUGCUUUGAGAUGCCAGCAGGUUUUCACAUGUGUGGCGCCUAAGCCUUGGGCGUUGCACAUGUGAAAACCUGCUGGAAGCUGAAUUUUGACAGGUAUGCAGCAUUUUGACAGCAUAUAUUUUGACAGAAAUUUAGAACAUAUGACAGCAACACAAACAACCGAAGUUCACAUUUAUAUUUGAAUCUAACACCAACAACACAAGUGCAAAUGAUUGUUCACAAGUGCAACAUCAAGACCAACAACACAAGUUCACAACUCCUAAUGGUUCACAAGUGCAACAUCAACACCAACAACAAAAGUAAAAUGGUUUGCAAAUGAUUGAAAACUCCAAAUGGCUCCAGUUCACAUCUUGGGGCCUCGUCCCCUCUUAGAAACAACUUCUUUCUUCUCGAAACUACAAAUUCCUCCGGGUCAUCCGACUCAUCGUCAUCCUCAUCGUCCAUGCUUCUCAUCCUUGACAAACGAGAGCCCCCGGCGACCGGGUUCUUUCCUUUCGCAUAAUCAUCCGGUGAGUACCGCCUAAAUUCCUUCCUAGGCUUCAACAUGUAAGCGGAGCGUUGGAAAGUCUUCAACGUCAUCCCGUCCGCAACCUAAUACAUAUGAAGGUUGAAAGAUCAAAGUUGAAGGUUCAAAGUGCACAAUGUUUUAUGGCUAUGUCAUACCUCAGGAGUGUCAACAUCAUCCUCUAUAGUAUUUCUUUGGGUAUUAGCUGCCGAGGUAAUGUCACCAUCGUCCAUACGAGCGCUCGAAGAAGCUGAAUCGUCUAGAGUAUUUCUUUCGGAUGAACCGGAUCUCGAAGGUGAAACAUAUUCAGGGUCACGGCAACCUAAAAUGUUGGAUAGGCGCCGUAACUUCUUGCCCUGUUCCUGUUAGAUUCAAAUAUAAAUGACAUAUAUAAGGUACCGUAUGUUGCAUUCGUGGGAAUAAUAAUAAUAAUGACACAACACCUUUAUGAAAAGACGAAGUGCAGAUUCUCCCUUUUUUCCUUCAGGUGUCUUCUCUAGAAUAUCUUCGGACUCAUCAGCUUGUUUCUUGACAUCUUUGCGCUAUGAUCACAAGACAAUGACAUGCAAGUGAAUAGGUGUACUAGCAUUCAUACUUAACAUAGGUGAGCACACUUACCACAAAGUUCAGGACAGGGGCGAAGGAAGUUUGGUACCCUUCGCGAAUUAACUUGUUGUAAUCGCCUUGGGCAAGUGCAUCGUACUCUGUGGGUUCUUCCAAUAUGUCCUCCUCGUAAGCCGGCGGACAAAUCUCGACACGAGUACUCUCCUGAAACCAUCUUAGGUAGUUAUUGAACGCAAGCGGACAAUGCUGGCGGUACUGGGUUCGUUGUAUGCUCGAAGCUGCCUGCACACUUUGCUCGAACAUAAUGACAUAGCUCUUAUGAUGCUUAUGCCAAUCCUUGAUCUUUCGCUGCCUCCUCCUAUCCAACCUGCUUUUAACAAAACCCAUCAGUAGCUUGCUCAACACUAAGAACAAAACUAAUCAGUACUUCUUUUUUGUUACCUGUGAAGCUGUGUGUCCGUAUUCACCCACUCCGGCAGGUGUGGCUGAAAGAACCCAAAUUGAUGCAUCACACGAUGCGGGAGAUGAAACUCAACCGCCCAAUUGCAUAUAAGGGGACAACGCAUUAGCCAAAGAUGUUUUUCCUGCACGCAUAGUGGAUUGAGCUCGAACGUGUGUGCAUCACCAAAGUUUGGCCCGACACCAUAUGGCUGACAUUCCACCUACAACACAACAUAAAAGGCACAAUUCAUUUUACUCACAACAUAAAAGCUGGAAGUCAACUCUGAAACCAUCUUACCUGCUCGGGGGUAAGCGAAUCCAUCUUGUUGGUGUAUUGCUUGUACAAUAGGUUCACUUCGCUUGCCACCUCCGAUACCAAGUCCCACUUGUAAGCCCAUGUAGGUUGCCAUACAGGGUUGCCGUGGUCAUCCCAGGUAUUCCACUUUGAGCUUUUAGGGCGUCCAACAGGUAGGCGUUCCCAGCUUCAUACUGAAAGUAGGAGCAUACAACCACCAACUCCACCGUCCUUUGUGGUCCUGCGACAAGCAUCGUCCAACUACAAGUAACAACAAACAUGCAUCAGUUUAGCAGAAAAAGAUAACAGAGAGUACUUAAUAUUAACAAUUUAUUACCUGCCGAUACAAGUAAGCCAGUGCGGCCGAGCCCCAACUGAACUUGUUGUCGAAAACAGUCAACGCCUUCAGCCACAUCCAUGGAGCAUUCUUGCCAGUGCCGUCAGCAAAGAUAGUCCUAGAGAUGACGUACCACAUGUACACGCGAGCAUACCUCUGGAUCACCUCGUCAUCUGCGUCCUCAGGACAAUGAGCAAAGUUCGCGGCAAUCCAAGUGAAAGGAGCGCCGGCCGGGACUCUAUCUUUCUUCCCUCCAUCUUCUACCUCCGGCUCCUGCGGCGACAUACCAAUAAGAGCCUCCAUUUGUUGCCGCCACCCCUCGAAAUCAGUGCUCAUACAAAGAGGCUUCCCCUCGAUCGGAAGUGCGGUGAUCAUGGAAACAUCUUGAAGAGUAACUGUCAUCUCUCCGGUCCGGAGGUGAAAACUAUGUGUCUCCGGCCUCCAACGAUCAAUAAGUGUUGUGACUGCCGCAGCGUUCAGAUUGGGCGUUGACCGACUCAAAAGCUAAAUGAAUAGAAGUAGUCCUGUCAUCUCGAUGUAUGGGGUGUACCGCUCAUUGUACUGCAUUACAGACGAUGCCCCAUGAGACCGGAUCUUCAAGGGCGUAAGCUCCUGCAAACAGAUAGGAGAAGAAGAUAUCAAGUGCUUAUUACAUUUUCAAGUGCUUAUUAAAUACAUGUUUUUUUUAUCAUAUGAUCUACUUACCAUUUUCUUCUCCGACAUGAAAUAGGCCCGGUGUUCAACGUCAUAAACAUUAUUCAGAAGCCACACCAUCCUACAAAUCACAAAAAAAUACUCAUAUUCAAAAAAUUACUCAUCUACUAAUCUACAUAUCCUAACUACUCAAAUUCUAAGAACUCAUAUGAAUCUACUCAUAUACUAACUACUAAAAUCCUAAGAACUCAUAUGAAUCUACUCAUAUCCUAACUACUCAAAUCCUAAGAACUCAUAUGAAUCUACUCAUAUACUAACUACUAAAAUCCUAAGAACUAAUAUCCUAACUACUCAUAUCAAUCUAGUCAUAUACUAACUACUAAUACUAACUACUAAUAUGAAUCUACUAAUAUACUAACUACUCAAAUCCUAACUAGUCAAAUCCUAAGAACCUAUUCAAAUCAAUCUACUCAACAAAAACCUAUUCCACUUGGAUAGAAGGAUGGGAAACGGAAGAGAUUACCUUGGGGGAUCAAUCUAAGGAAGAAAUCAUUAGAUCUGAAGGAGAUGGGGGAGGGGAUUAGGGAUUCGAAGAGAGCCAGCCGCCGCCGUUGCUGUUUCUGUUUGAAUGAGGGAGGGGAAUGGGGAGGGGGGCUGGCCCGUGGCCAGUUAAGUCAAUGUGUGGCGCCUAAGCGUUCGGCGCCACACAUUACAAUGUGUGACGCCUGAGGCUUAGGCGUCACACGGCCUGGGAGGGUGGGCCCUCUCUGCCAGGUGGUCGGGGGGUGUGGCGCCGAACCGCUAGGCGUCACACAGUGUAGUGUGGCACCUAGGUGUCGGACGCCAUACAAAAGGGUCAGCCGGGUGACAUAUUUUCUCUGAGGGGUCACUCCGUGAGUUCUUUCCCCAAAGGGUCAUUUUUAUCAAUUCUGCAUCUAAAGCUUCCAUACACGCAGUUGCUUCUGCAUGGAUUGCACUGCCGAUAUGCUGCAACAUCCCAGCGCCUGAUCCCAUCACAUCUUCACGCAGAUCACGAAUCACGUAGCCCCAUCCACCACUUCUCUCCUGUUCACUGAAGGCCCCAUCCACAUUGAUUUUCAGAGUAUCACCUGUAGGUUUUUUCCAUACGACUGCUUCUUUGGUCCCUGGUUGCUUCGUUAGAUUUGUACAGAGCAAGUGAGACUGAGAGACUCAUGUGCCCAAUACCUGAUGCAGGGUUCUAAUUCUUCCACCGGGGGAGUUCCCUCCCUUGCAUUUAUUUUAUUCCGACGAGACCACCACCGCCAAAGCAUGCAGGUAACCAGUACACAGUUCUCCUCAGGCAGCUACAGAAUCUUUUGCACUACUUUCUUUGCAUCCAUACAUGCGGCUAACUGACUACGUAUCUCGUCGAGUUGCAUAACUCGCCAGAGUCUCUUCACUUCCUUGCACUUUAAGAAUAAGUGAGCGCCGUCCUCAUCUAACCUACCACAACAUAGGCACAAAGUUUCGCAUUUGACACCUCUCCGAUUCAGUUUCAGCAGCAGAGGAAGACUGUUAUGUGCUAGACGCCAUAGAAAUUGUUGUACUUUCGGCUGGCAAGGGAGUGCCCAGUUAUCCUUCCAGGGGAAAGAUUUUAAGGAGGAGGCAAACCCACUUGGUAAAUGUUCAUCCCUGUACUGCACAUAGACCCUAUAAGCCAAUUGGACAGAAAAUUGUCCCUUUGUAUCAAAGAACCAUGCAUGAAAAUCCCCAUAUUCCUCAUUGAUUGGUGUCGCCAGUAUCACCUUAACAUCCUCCUCCACAAAGAUAUGUCGUACUAGAAUUUCAUCCCACAUUCCAACUUCUGGAUCGAGUCACCUUGGCGCAACCCAAGGCGGUGCCAUAUCGGGGGGCCGGGCACACCAUUGAGCAUGACGCGGGUGCUGGCCGACGAUAGGAGAAUGGCCAGCCACUCCCAGAAUCUCUCUCCGAACCCAUAUUGGCGCAGGACCUCGAAGAGGAAGGGCCAGGAUAUGGAGUCGAAGGCCCGGGUGAGAUCAAGCUUGAGCAUAAUUCUCGGCGCGCCCAGGUGGUGAAGCAGCUUGAGGGAUUGCGGGACGAGGAUGUUUAGGUGCGCAUUGACUAAUCUAUCUGGUAAUAAUGCACUGUGUGGUCCUUCCAUAUACCACUCUCUGAGGUACUUCUCAUAUAAGCUAGCUUCUCCAUCAUAGUUCACUGAAAGAACUGCUGUGCUCCUUGUCCCAUAGAGCCCCUUUGCAAAAACAGAAACAUGUAAAUAAAUGUAAAUAAAUAUAGCAUUUCAAUAUCGAUAUAGGGUUCUGUACUAGAACAUCUACGUGUUAUUUUAGUGAUUAAUAGGCAUAAUUUUUCAGAUAAUUCUACUCUGAAUGUACUUGUAAACUGCAAUUAAGUCAAAGAUUUUAUGCUCAUUUUGUCAGUUUGCACCUCGAUGAAGAUGGAGCUCAGACCGUGCUCCCAGUUGGGAUCACAACUAGUGUUUGGCAGCCUAUCUUUAUCACCCGUCGUAGUAUCACUCAUUAGUCUGUCAGCUAUAUCCUUUGCUUCAACUUCAUCAUCACCAUGCUUCCUUAAAAACGCCCCGAAGUUUUUUCCGAGGCAAAUUGCCUACAAGCAAUAUCUGCAACGAUGAAAAAUUGUCUGCACUGCAUUCCUUGGGCAGAUUCUUAUAGUAUAGUGAAUGGUCCCUAAGACAGAGUGGCUUGCAAUCAUGUGGCAUCUACUCCUGUCUUGCUGAUUGUACAUGCAGUGCUAUUAAUUGAGUUAAAUGCACUGCCCUCUAUAAUUAGGGAAGUACUUGAAAUGGCUUUCAUCUUGCUUUGUCACAUCUUUUCCAGCUCAAAAGUCUCCUUUAGGGUUCUCAGUGCAGUACAAGUAAAAUCAACAAAGUACACCUCAUUGGACAUUCAACAUUUCUAGCUUGCUCCUGAUGUUCUUCCAGUAUUUUACUCCCUCCGUUCCUAAAUAUAUGUCUUUUUAGAGGUUCCACUAGUGGACUACAUACGAAUGUAUAUANUAUUUAGGAACGGAGGGAAUAUCAAAUAACAGCAUCAUGUGCACUUGUAUUUCUGUGGCACUCUGGGAAUUCUAUCAAUUUGUAAGGUCUUCAUUGGACAAGGAGUAGUUCUGUUACCAUCUGCCAAGGGCUGUCUAGGCUUGCAUUGGACAACAUAUGGAGUCUUGGUGUGACGACCUGAAUCGUAAAUCGUUGCAGACCACCCCUUUGGCCGGUUUGACACAUAGGCCAUGGCAUUCCUGCUUAGAUCAGUAGUAUAGGGUUGAACCCGUCGUACUCAUCAGCUUCUUUUGCCACUUCAGUUGCAACCCCCAGUGGGCUCUUGUUGCCCUGUAUAAUACAGAUUCUGUGGAUCAUGCUCAUGCUCUCUAUUUCAUUCAACACACAUCCUAUGGAUAAUCUUGUUCAUGCUUUUGCUUUUAAGGGGGAGCUGGCAGUCUGGCAGUUCUAAUAGGAAGGAGCAACUAAAAAUAUUUUGAUGGUAAAGUUUUGGUUCCUAAAAAUGGGAAUGUAUGUCCUUGUCUUCAUCUAAGAAAAUUCCAGAGUGUGGGAUACAGUUCUGGUCAUGGGGUAGGCCGAGCCAAACUUGUCGUCCCAGAUCUAAAGAAAGCGAGAACUUGGCUAAACUAUGUGCCUCACAAUUGACGGCACGAUCUUCAAAUAUAAAACUACAAUUAAACAAUGACCGUAACAUUCUAACUUCGCUGACGAUAGCCCCAUUGAUUCCUUGAUCUCCUUUCUAGAUGGAUGAAAUCACUUCCUUGGCAUCUGAGGACACAACGAACUGUUGUAUGUGUAUAUCCCGUACCAAUGAAAAAGCUUCUCGGCAUGCUAUAGUUUCUAGAGUAGCUCGGUCAUCAAUCCCGCCGAUUACCAGUGCAGAACUGCCUAAAUAUUCUCCAUUAGUCUCUACACACCGCCGCGGCAGUGCCCACGCCUUUCUACAACCUGCAUCGACAUGUAUCUUCGCAAAGCCAUUUGGAGGGGCCUUGGGCCUCUGCAUUGUCGCAGCUGGAGUAGUCCGAGUUCUGUGUGGCGGCGAUGGCACGGUCUCCCUUGUCAGGGCUAGCUAAAAAAUACAAAAGGAAAAUAAGAUGCUUAGCCCAGGCAGUGGGCUUAGCCCAAAAUGCAACUGAUGAUCUGUGCAACCGGGCUGCUUGAGGUAUACCAACGGUGGUAGCGUGUCCAUGGUGGAACACCUACUGCUAUUGAUGAUCGUGGUGGCGAAGCAGACCACAAGUGCGCCGGAGCCGGAGACAGCCACACGCGCCACAUCGAUGGCGAUGUCAUUAAUUACUGCAAGUCAGGACGUAGCCGGGUUCCCGGCGAAGGGGCUAGCAGAGCGGGAAGUCGUCGAAGAAGAGCGUCGUGAUGAACGUCCGGCCUGCCCAUGGCGCGAGGAAGAACGUGCCGCCGAAUAUGGCCGCGCCCACGCCAUUCCCGGUGAACCCGUUCCCGCCGUCGAUUGGGAGUGAGAGCGCGAACAAGUUUGCCACCUUCUGCACUCGCCAUUUGGAGCGGGAAUGAGGUGCUGCUGGAGCGCGGGAGGCGGGAGCCUGACCCCGGCGACACCCACGACGCCUGAGGGGGCGGUCCCGCAGGUGGCGAAGGAGAUCGGGACAACCAGUUGUUUCCUGGAGUACCGUCCGUGUAGUUGGAGGAAGGCAUCAUGGUCAUCGUCUGCCUGCUGCACGGCGACGUACUGGCCGGCGCGGAGAAGUUGACUACUAACGGGCGGCCGGCAGACAUUAAGCAGCUAGCGCGGUGUAGAGCGUCAUGGACACGCCGUAGUUGGUGAUCGGGAAUCAGAAUGGUGUGAAGGAAGUAAGUUGUGUAACUAGAGAACGAUAAGUUUGGCCAAUGCAUGCCGAAUGAAAUAUUAUCGGAACCAGAACUGCAUUUUUCUACGUUUGGGAACACAUUGUCAUAUAUAGUCAUAGAUGAUUCUUGUUGAGAGUCCUGCUCCUUCGUAGUGACAUUAUCAAAGAUCGAUCAUGCACGCGUGCGUUGUUUGCUAGCUAGACGAGACAAUUGCAUUAAUGAUGCUAAUUUUAAUAUAAGUAUAAGGAAUGCAUCGUGUCUUCAACCACUACAAGAAAUUUGCCCAUUUAUGACAAAAAAUAAUGAUCGGAGUCAAAUUUGUCAUAAAUUUAUGACCAAAAUUUACAAAAGGGUCAUGUGAUGUUUAACAAGGUCCAAACCCUAUACCACCAUGACUAUUUCUUCUCAGAAGGUCAUAAUUCCAUUGCACCAAAUGGUCAUUGAAAUGUAUAACACUAUUUAUGUGCUUAUUUCAUGCCCUACAUGACCAACUCAACAAGGUCAUAGGGUUGAAUAGAGAUGGAUGGACAAACACCUCAUCAUUUUUGCCUACAUGUCAUGUAUAAUUGUCAAUUACGUGUUUGAGCUGUAGAGUAUAACUACACUAACAGGUGGGACACACAUAUUGUGUUACAAAUGCAAAUGACUACGGGGACCCACAUUUAACAUGUGGGAUAACCUAAUAGGCUCAACAACAGACCCACGAGACGAUAGGCCCGCGUAGGACAUGCAAUUCAUUCUUUCAUAUACGUGCUCGGUACUAGAAAUAUACAUAAAUACUUAAAAUAAGUUUUUUUGUUUGAUUUAUAGACUUUAUUUGAGAUACACGUACUUAAAAUUUAAAUUAUAUUACAUAAGAACUUGGAAAUGUAUUUAAUAAUGCCUACAUGAUGGUAAAUACUAAAGGGCACACACGUGAGAUGAUGCUUCCAUGAGUGCAAUCUCGAACGUAUUUUGGUUUGUGUUGCAAAUUGAAAUUUAAUCUCUUAAUUAUAUUUUACCCACUUCUAAAAUCUACAAUUUUAACCGAAGCAAGUUUUGUUCUCAUGGAAUUGGGAGCUUUAUUUUAUCAAAUUAAAAUCCGGUCACAAACUGUCAUGCAGUUGAUGACAAAACUCGGCUCUUUGAUCUAGCCAACUCUAGAACUAUUGACCAAUUCAAGGGAUAGAAAAGAAAUGAUAGUACACUCUAGUAAAGAUGAAUUUCUAGCCAAAAAAUCACAAAUUAACUUUUCAUAGGAUUUGCACCACAUAGAUUUUUUUCUUUGAGGGCAGCGCCAUAUAGAUGCCACCAAGCUUUAGAAAAGCAAAAGGAGAAGGGCCCAUUGUAGCUACCUUUUUAAGGAUCAGUAGCCACCUUGAUUUUUUUAAGACAAAGUAGCCACCUUGAUUGCCUCCCGCGCUCGACAAUGCGCGAUUUUUUGGUUGCCCGCGGGCUUUUUUUUUCAUUUCCCGCACAUUUUUAGCACAAUAGAAAAUUUUGGGCCAAGUCCCCUUCCCACAUGUCCAGGCAGCCACAGUCCAAAUCCUAAUCCUCCUAUUCUACCCCCAACACCCCGAAGGCCGAAGCCACCAUCUGUUAGGGUUUCUCCUUUUGCGCCGCCGCCACCAACCCGAUCUAUAGCCACCGUAGUCCAUCCGCUUCUCCGCUUGCUGGAUCGGGAUCUUCAUCGAUGCUGAAGCACUCUGUUCCGAGCUUCUCGACCUGCCAUUGAGCGCAAAAAUUCCACCACCGAGGGGCCUCUCCUGUCUCCGAGCCCUCGGCCUCCCCGAGCUGCCUCUCCCGCCGAUGAGCGCGGCUUCGCCACCGACUCCCCAAGUUUCCUCUCCCGCGUCUGACUGCCUCCCCAAGAUGUCGCGACAUCACCACUGAAGCGAACCCGCUGCUCCUCUCCUUACCAGAGCACAUCUUUGGUAGCGAUGCAACACCGAUGCUCUACUUCAGCCACUCUCCAUCAGAGGUAUCAGUACCACUGUCCCAUCCUUCCCCCAGUUCUGCUCAUUUGAUGAUAGGUGUGUGCUGGAUGUGGUUUGUUGUGCUGAAUGAUGCGUGUGCGUGUUGUAUGUGGUGCGUGUGUGCAUUAUGCAUGUGUCUGAUGUAUGUAUGUUGCGUGUGUGUUGAUUGUUGGAGGUAGAGAGUCCAUAGUCUUGUACCAAAAGUAGACUUAGCGUGGUAGUACGAAUUAAUUUAAAGUUUAGUAAUACCUAGUAGAAUAUUACUAUGUUAGAUAUAAUACGGAGUAUCGGUUAUAUACAGUCCAGGCAUUUCUUAAUGCAACAGUACUCAUGAUUGUGAAAUCUUUCUCAUAAGAUGCUGCAAGUAUCACCAACAGAAUGAUUGUGAAAUAUUUCAGUCUAUAUAAAAGAUUCUAAAGUAUGCAUGUAGUUUGAGGUUUCUAUGAGAACAAUGUUUUUUAUGCUUUCUCCAUGAGGAUUUAACACGUGGAGGAUUUUGUUCUUUAUGCAUAAAAGCAGUCAGCUUUCUAGGAGUGCUUACCUUUCAUUCUGUCGUUGUUUUAGGUAUGUGGCCUAUGAAUAUGCCAACUUAGAUAUGUUGAAAAAGAAGACCGAUGUCUAGAAUUUUGGCGUGCUGCCAUUGGAAACAGUGGCUGGGAGGGAUCCUAUAGAUUAUUGUAAGCCAGCUAAUGAGGUGAACAUAUAUUCUACUUUAAGUGGUGCAUACUGGUGUCAUUUUUGUUUUAACAUCAAUGUUGCAUCAGCUUGAAAAGACAAUUUGUUUCAGUUGUAAUAUUCUGUUAUCUCAGUUUGUCUAAACAUAGCAAACCUUAUGUUUCCUUCCGAAUUGUCAUAUGUUUUUCUAUCAUGUCAUCCCGUUGGCUGCUAGGAAUGUACAUUAAUCAACUAUAACAUGGAUGACAUGCAGAUGCAUCUGGUGGCGUGGCUCAAGAUGAUGGUGGGCACGAGGAGAAUUAUGAGUGCCGAAGGAGUGUUUGAAAGUGUUUUGUUGUGCAAAACAUAUGUUAUAUCAGAAGCUUUUAUAAUGUACCAAUUGAUGGUUUCCUGCUGUUUUUUGUGAGUUCCCAAGAUCAGAGAGGCUAAGGAGAACAACACUUUUGUGUGCGGUUUCGGAGAACCAUGAGUUAUUGCUAGCUAAGGUUCUUCUCUUCUAAUUUGUCUCUCAUCGGAUGAACACUAUCUAGCUUCAUAUGCAUCCAGCUAGUCUUUGACAACAUUGCGAUUUCGUUUUUGCAUUAUUUUUUAGCAACUACCACGCCUACUGAUGAAUACUAUUGUGCCUAACACUAUAUGUCAACAGCCUAAACUGAAAUUGCAGGAAUCAUAUAAAAUCUACUCCCUCUGUCCCAAAAUAAGUGACACAAAUUUAAUACUAAGUUUGUUCAAAUUUUGUACUAAAGCAGUGCCACUUAUUUUGGGACGGAGGGAGUAGUUCAUAAAAAUGAGCAAUAACGGGACAUUUGCUUCUCUAGUUUUUUUGUCUAUAAAGUAAUUCUGUAGUUGGAAGUUGCAUAAGGAACCUUUUGUUUUCAGAUGAAGGUGCAUGUACUGGUGUGAGAUAAUUUCUAUUGUAAACAUCAUACAGAUUUGUUACUUGUUAUUUCAUGCUAUAGUAGUAGAUUACUCAGACGUCGAACUUUUAGAACUUCAGAGAUUCCUAUCAUUUAUGUUUGAUCACACUCACUAGCUAUGGAAUUUGCAUGCCCUUUUCCAUUAGACCACCAUUAUCUGUAAGAUUUUUACCUUUAACUACAACCUUGAUCUUACAGGUUUGAACUUUGAACAGCAAGAGCAGCGCCAUGGGAACCGUCAUCGUGGUUGACAAAACUGAUGUUCCUCAUCCCCCUUUCCCUAUAAGUUUCAGUCACUCUCAUGCAUGUUCAUGGUAACUAUCAUAGUUGACUUGUUGCAUGUUGAUGGUCGAUAUGAGUGUUGCUGAUGUUAGUGUUGUCGUAUAAUCAGUUGAUUGUGUCAUGUUAUUAUAUCUGUGAAAUUUGAACUUAUAUUGUUACUGUUGUUAGAUUUUGAUUUAGGAAGUACUUAUUCUUUUAUAGUUUUUCAUUUAUUGAAAAAGCACCAUUUCAUUGAACUAGUUAGAAAGGAUUUACUCCCUUCGUUCCCAAAUAUAAGUCUUUUUAAAUAUUUCACUAGGUGACUACAUACAGAGCAAAAUGGGCGAAUCUACACUCUAAAAUAUGUCUAUAUACAUCCGUAUGUAGUCACCUAAUGGAUCUUCUAAAAAGACUUAGUAUUUAGGAACGGAGGGAGUAGAUUAGAAUACUAAUAUAUCGAGUGGAGGUGUUAUACUUUAAUGGGAAUGCAUGUGCCCUUUGCUUCUCCCAAGUCUUAGUUGUAUACGUACUAACUAAUUUGUGGUAGGUAGUGGAUGGUUUUGGCACUUCUAAAUUUGUGCACCUCACAUUGUUAUCGACAAUUACCCCUUUAAAUAAUUAUAGGUACAUCCUUUUGUGCUCCUUUGAAUAAUCAUCAAAUGAUCAUUAUGUAUUGAGUGCUCCUUUCAUAAGUAAGAUUUUUGUUCUCAUUUAAGUAUUCACAAGUUUGAAGUGGAUGUUUUUACACUAUUGUUGAACUUGUUGAUUUUUUUGUAUUUAAUGCUAUAUGAUAUUCUUUUGUUUCUUUACUUUUUAUUUGAGGCUUGCUUCUCAUCUGUGAUCCUUCAUGCUCUCAGAAGUUUGGAAGAGGAAGAUAAUGAAAGCCAUAUCUAGAAGAGCUAGAUGAUGUAGAGAUGUACCUUUUCUUUGAUUGGUGUGACUAUUGGUAUCAUUGGUUUGUUUUAUUUAGUGUUGAAUGAAUCAAACUUGUAUGUAAUAUCGUAUUUUCCUAUGUUGUGAUUUCGAAUGUUGCUACAUGUAAUGCAUUUAUUGUUAUAAUUGCAAAAAAAUGGCUUGAUGGAAUUGUACCACGCGGGGAAAAGAAUAAAGUAAUUUCAAAAAUCCAUAAUAUAUCAGCCCUAAAAAAGGGCUAACUGAAUCAUAAUCGGGUAUUUUUUAUGGCCCAACUGAUUUUAUAAUGAAUGCAUAAAUGGGCUGAACACUUGGCCUUGGCCCAUCAACGCACUACAAUUGGAUUGGGCUCAUUUUCAUCAUUGGACCUGGUGAUCCUAUGUGGCAGCCACAUCAUCAUGUGUGCCAUGUCUUUUCUUCUGCCACGUGGAUAACUCCAUGUCACACCCUACGUGGCUUAGACACAUGGCCAAUGACCAAAAUUUAGGUCAUGGAUUUUAUGACUGAAAUUUUGGUCAAUGAUAUCCAUGACCAAAACUUUAGAGAAGGUCAUGCUUCUUCAUUCUUGACGGCCAACUAUUGACCUUCUGAAUUUGGUCAAAAUAAGGUCAUUAACGCAAAACAGUGACAAUUCAGUGACCAAGAUGGUGGGUCAUGUAUGGACAUAUUUCUUGUAGUAAACUUAUUAUUGAACCCAACAUGCAAGUCAAAUUUGUAUUGCCCUAAAUUUUUGUAAAAAUGCUCAUCUACUAUACACUAGAAACCACUAUUAAGAUAUUUAUUAGUGUGUACUCCCUCCAUUCGCAAAUAUAGGAUGUUCUAACUUUUUGUGAUUGAGAUGUAUAUAUAGACAUGUUGUAGUAUGUUGUUAACUCAUUUCAAUCUGUAUAUAGUCGGUGCAUAUUAAAAUAUCAAAAACAUUUUAUAUUUGUGUGAACGAAGGAAGUAUAUUUAAAAAUCUCUACCAUGAUACUUAGUAAUAUUAAAAUAUAAGAAUAUAAUCACCUACCUCCAAAUAUAUGUGUAUACAAUAAAUUUAUGUAGUUUUCAAAAAAAUAAAAUAAAAUAUUUUUUCAACACAAAAGGUAACUUGUGUAAUUUAGAAUUGGCACAAUAAAAUUUCCAAUAAUAUACAUUGUAACAAUAUAACAGAAAAUACAUUGUUAUACGGUUAAUUAUGAUAGCUAGGUAAUAUAAUACUCCCUCCGUUCCAAAACAAGUGACUCAAAAGGACUCAAUUUUAUACUGAAGUUAAUGCAAAGUUGAGUUAUUUUUGAGUCAUUUAUUUUGGGACGGAAGGAGUAUUAUGCUAAUUAAAAUUGUAAUAUAGCACUGUUAUUUUAAAUAAGCAUACAAGUUUGGUAUAAAAAUUAUUAUUUUCAAGUCAUAAUAGUUUGGACCAGCCUUGGGAGGCGGUGCACCCGAGCACAAAAAGUCAAGGACGAUACAUGGAGGUUACUGACCAAUUUUUCCCCAGGCAUGCUACUACACAAGUGCACCAACCUCCGCGACUUCGCGGUUGCGCAUACCAAGCUUAGCCACUACACGAAAGUCGUGCAAACGUCCGCUUUUCUUACAUGGCCGACACCAAUAGAAAUACAAGUUGCUAGUAUUCUGGAUUUUUGAACACUUCUGAAUUUGAUGCAAUAGUUUCCUUACUGUUUCUACACUUGGGUCAAUGCGUACAUAUUUCAGGGAUGGUAAUUGAAAAAACAAUUGUCAGUACUUCUGAUUGCCUGCAUGCAUGGGUAAUGGAGUAAUGUGGCAUAUACUCAUUUGUUAAUGGUAACAUUUUUCUGUGGGUAUGUUAAUGGUAGCAUUAAAACAAAGUUACUACUCAAAGCUACACAUAAUGAUAUCGUAAUAUGUAGCUCGAAAGUAGAAUACUCAAAGCUGAUCAUCUGGGGGCACUAAGUCAUAUACUACAUGGCACAACAUUACUUUUUCAGGUGUUUUCACAUGCUGCUACAAGGCACUAGCUGGAUUACCCUUUGACUCUUCGUAGAACAAAAUUAUACAAUAAUAUUCGAUGGCAAAAUGGCAGCAAAGGAGCAUGCAAUGGUCAAGAUAUUACUUUACUUCCAUAAGUAACCAUUUCAUGACUAAAAGAGACGCAACAAAUACAUACAUCAUCCCGGUGUAGCCAGUGGCGAAUCUACCAGGGGGCUUCGACAGGCUCGAGCCCCCCUCCGAAAAUUGAAAACGAAAAACUACUAGUAAUCCUGUCAAAAUUUCCAUCUUAUUUUCACUAAAAAAUUGAUAUUUUUUGACUUUUUCUACACACCGUUAACUUUGAGCCCUUCCUUCAUUUUCUUUUAAGAUUCGACACUGGGUGUACUGACCCCUCACAACGACUAAAAGAGACGCACACUACAUGUGUAGCCAUAAACAUCCAACCCAAUGCUGCUCGUUGCACUUGUUUUCAUCAAUGAUGGACACAGAUAGAAUAACUUAAAUUAAUAGUAUGUCUAUGAGUUGCUUGUGGUGGUCAAUUUUUGCCAACUUCAUUUUACCCAGGAGCUACAUAUCAAAGUGUUCGGCAUGCAGAAGUAAGAAUGCAGGCAGAUGCUUAUAUGCUUAUAUGCAAAGAGUAGCAUGAACACCAUAUAACUGAAUGCAUAAAUAAGUACAAUAUAAUGGAAUCAAUCGUAUCUAGAAUCAUACUGUACUAGGAUACUAGCUAGCUAGCAAGUUGGAUAAUAAAACAAUGAAAUUCGGCAAAGUGGUUGUAUCUUUAAUAUAGAAAGAAAAAAAAAUAGUGAUUAGAUAUGUAGUAGAGCCGAGCGCUCUGCUGAGAGAAGAUUUGUGGAAGGAAAAAGAAUUCUGCUUUAAGAAAAAUCAAAGCAAAAUGAAAUUGGAUAGCUGGCCUGUUGACUCUUCCCAGAUGCAAAUUAAACAAGUGAAGCGAGCACCAAAAGUUUAUGCCAACAUAUACAAGAGCAUGCAAUGAUCGACAGAGCAAUAACACAUACAUACAUAAACAAUAAGGAAAAGGUGUGAUAUACUCUCUGCGUAAAUUAACAUAAGACCUUAUAGAUUACUAAAGUAGUGAUCCAAAAGGAGAGAAUCGUCGUCUUGGCUCCGAGACUAAUCUGAGCCUGGGAGUGAACAAAAAAAUCAUUAAAAAUACUAAUUAAAUUCAAAAAUAUCUGAACUUUUCUCUGUGGAGCAAAUGCUUGAGUGUGUGAUGUACGUGCCAAAUUUCAGAAUAUUUAAAUGUCUAAAUAGCUCUCAGCAAAUACACAAAUUUCGGUGUGUGAAAAAGUUUAUAGUUUAUCCAUUGUUUGGGCUUGACUUUUUUUUGCUGAGAGCUACUCAGUUGUUCAAAUACUUUGAAAUUUGGAACACACCUCACACAUUAAAAUAUAUUCCAUGCAAUUUCUGUUUAGAGUUUUUUUAAAAAAAUCUAGUAUUUUUUUGAAUUAACUGUUCACCGGGUGCGAUCUGGGGCUUAGAAAUUAGAUAUUCAAUCUAAAAGAUCUUAUAUUAGUUUCCGGAGGUAUCACUGAUCAAAAUGUCAGUUCUAUUGAAGGCCGGUCUCAAACAAGUAUAGUGAUGUUCUGAUCAAGAUAUCAGUUUUAUUGCAGUAACAAGCUAGUCGAUGAAAAGCACACGCCUACUUUCAGUAUCUAUACGAGAGUAGGCAACUAGGCAUAGCUAACUGAGCAUAUUUAGCCAGCAGCACACGGUUGGUUAAUUAAGCGGCGCGAACUACUUCCCGGUUACAAAAGGCACACCUCACAGCCUCAUAUAUUAGGGGGGUACAUUCGUACUAGCUCUUGGCGUUGGCGGGCAGGUUCCGGAUUCGUCUCGCCGGGGACAAGGCACGAACGAGCACUUCACGCAGCAGGCGCGCAGUCAUAGUCGUCGUCAUCGUCGUCGCCGUCUGACUCGUCCUUCCUAUGCCGCACGCCGCAGCAGUCGUCACUCGGCACAGCGGCGUAAACGGCAUAGGCGGCAAUGCGGCCGUCUUGGACGACGAUGUGGCUCAUGACCAUGGACGCCGACGCCAUGAUGAGGAUCUAGCUUGAGUAUGCAGGCGAAUCACAAGCUUGAGGUCUAAGCCUGGUGAUGCUGGCUGUGUUGGUGUGUGAUAUCUGCAGAGUAUAGCCGCGUGCGUUGUGGGUUUUAUAGGACGACGGGAUGUGUGGGGAAAUGUGGCGGCACGCGACCGGAAGUGCCCGGAGCGUGCGUCGGACAUGCCGCUGCGUGCAUGGCUUUGGCGCGGCACGGGCGCGGCAGUGCACACUCAGCAGCCGGGGAGCCUCGCCGGCACCGCCAUGCCGCUGACAGGUGAGCGCCCGGGACCGGCGUGGUCUACAUGCCAGUGGUUGCGGCGGCUGCGGUACCGGGUGGCCCGGACCGCCCGACGUGGAGGGAGGAAUCGCGAGGAGGAUGGAGGGCCAGACCGGCAGCGAGCUAACGGGAGAUGGCAAAAAGCUACUAGAACCGUCGACGCAGAUCUGUGUAGACUAGUCGAGGUCGAGGGAGGCUUUAUCAACGGCAUCUCGGGUGAUAUUUCAUUCGUACUUUAUUGCAGUUCGGCGCGGAUAUAUAUUCUGUCGCCUGCAUGCGUUCUUCGUUGCGUCUGCUGAUCGUUUGCUGAGUCCUCCACACGAGCGGUAUACUAUGAACAUAGACGAAUAGGUAGAUUGAUUGAUGAUCAUGGUCGAUCCGCUGUUGCCGAAUACGGCAGUGCCGCACGUAGUGCUGAUUAUUAAUAACAGGGUCAUACUACUGGAAUCGGCAACAUUGUCUAUUGCCGGAAGAUUACCCGCUCCAAUGUUUAUCCCUAAAACAAGUAAAUUGCAGGAAACCGGGCUAAGAGAGCAACUUCAAUCUUGUUACCGACAAGUCUUUUUACUCGUUUCGUAAUAUAAGAUUCUGUGAUUAGCUUAUUAGUCACAUUGGUUCCAAGCUUGUUGUGAUGUUUUAUUAUCGAGUGAGCAUUGAGAUACCUCUUCGUCACACCGAGUGACAAAUCACAGUCUUGAUCCAGUCAAUUGAACAGACAUCCUCGGAGAUACCUGUAGAGCAUAUUUAUAAUCAUCCAGUUACGUUGUCAGGUUUGAGUCUUGUCCAUCACAUCAUUCUUUUAAUGAUGUGAUCCCGUUAUCAAAUGAGAACUCAUGUUUAUGUCUAGGAAUCCUUAGUCAUCUUUGAUCAACGAGCUAGUCCAGUAGAGGCUUACUAGGGACACUUUGUUGUCUAUGUAUCUACACAUGUAUUUAAGUUUUCAAUCAAUACAAUUAUAGCAUGGAUAAUAAACAGUUAUCAUGAACAAGGAUAAUAACCACUUUAUUAUUGCCUCUAGUGCAUAUUUCUAACAAUCAUAUUACAUUGGUCAUCAUAUAACAUAUAACAUAUAACUUAGAUCAUCACAUCACAUAGGUCAUCACAUUAGAUAUAACAUAUAACUUAGGUCAUCAUAGAUAGCUUGAAGCAUCAUAUUUAAUAGAUUCUUGCACAUCAUAGUAGAGUCCAACAUAGGUCACAACUUAAAAUAAACACCAUAAUUCCAACUUAGGUCACAACUACACAUCCAGAGUCCACAUUUACUAGUUCUAAACAACAUCAUACUUCACAAAAGGUCAGCUAAGCAUGCUUCUUCUACAUGUUGAUUUGGAUCUUGCUCUUGCUCUACAUCUUCUUCAUUCUGUUAAGAUGUUCUGGGUUCUCUUCAAAUUCUACCUGUUCCUCUCCUCCGACCUUAGCAAAUCAGCAAUGUAAAGCUUCAACUCAGUCCUGCCUGCAGUGAGCUUCUCAUGUCCCUUCUUCAGGUCACCCAUGUGAAUCUUCAACUUUCAGUUCUCCUUUGAGUUCAUCAACUUGCAACUACAAGUUCCUACUAGCUUUGCUGACCUGUUGCUUCUGUUUCAAAUGCUUGAGCUUCAGGUUCUGGAUGACACUGCCUUGAGCUUGUGAAAGGUUCAUCAGGACUUUAUACUUCUCCUGCAGCUUGAAGAUCUCUGCACCUUCCUUCUCCAUCUCUGUCUUCAUAUCAGAGACAACUGAGUUGGUAACCUCAACACCCUUCAUCUUAGCAUUAAAAUAGCUAAAAUCCAUCAUCCUAUCCUCUUGGGCAUUGAAAAUAUGAUACACAUAUUCAACCAAUUUGUCAUAGGUGGCAUCCAGUUUGUUUUUCUCCUCUGUCAAAUGGUUCAUAGUAAGUGAAUUCUCAAGGUUAUCCUUCCUCCUACCACUCCUGCUAUCUUCAUACAUCUCCCAUAGCUUCAACAAGGCAUUAUGCAGUUUACGAGUCCACUCUGGGUCAACCCAUCCAACAAAACCAUAGUUCUCACCUUCCCGCAAUGUAAACAACUCAUAUAUUAUUAGUAACUAUGCAAAUGAUUUCCAAUUAACUCAGAACAACACUGAACCCUAGCAUGUGCAAUGUAAACAACAUUUAUAUUUUAAACAACACUGAACCAAUCUCCUAGGCUAAUUAUCUAAGAACUCAACUAUUAACAACUCCCCCCUAGAAAAUAACCAAACUAUGAGCAUCCCACACUUUAAAAUAACUGAACUUUGAGCAACUGGCAAUUAAGAAACAAGUCACACCUUGAGCAUCUGACACAAUUAGUGAGCCGCCCAAUUAAAGAAUGAACAUCUCACAUUGAACACUCACUAGAUUUUUAACAACACACAGUAAACAACCAUUUAGCUGGCCAAUUAAUGACUCAGUUAGAUUAAACAAUGAACUUCAACACUGCAAACUAAGUUGUUGACAUGUUACACAAUCUCCAUCAGCGCAUGGCUCGGGUAGAUUAAACAAUUACACAAUCUGCAUCAACACAUGGCUAAACUAAAAUAUGACCAUCAGAUCUGCCAACAUAAAUUAUGCACCGGACCAUGUGCUUACUAUCAUUGUUAAUACAAAACAUAUAGCUUUUGUGCAACAUCUGACCUUAUUAGCACACACUAAAAACCUCUUGCCCAUGUCAAAUUCUUCAAAGGCCACAUGCCUCUCAGCUGCCAGACCAUGGUGCUAACAAGGAACCAGCGGUGCUGUCUCAACAUCCAUGUAGUCCUGGUCUUCAAUGCUAGCAGGGACCUACAACAGCAAAAUGAACAAAGAAUUCCCCAAAUCAAAUCGAAUCCCCCAAGAACACAAAUCCUAACCCUAAACCUAGUUCUACAACUCACCUGGUACUUCAUGCCAUCGUCGGAGGAGCUGAUGUAUAACAGGCUGGAGUAUUCGUUGCUGCUCUCGUCCUCGUACACCAUGGCACAACGACGGCGGCGGCAGCAAUGGUCGACUGCGAAUCGAAGGGGGGGGGAGGGAGAGAGCUUGAGGAGAGGAAGAGAGUGCGCCGGGGUCCGGCUCGGUUCGACCGAGCCCGCUAAGACCGACCACGUCGGCCUCGUCCUACUCAGCAGAGCGGCACAUGCCAGUUGGCCAUGUAUCACUGAUAGGUGGGGCUGCGCGGUCAGAUCCACGGUCAAUACAGGGUUAUAUGGCUGUUAGACCUUUUUGCAACAAUUAUGCCCUAAAAUGGUAUUGAACUGCGACCAACACAAUUUGUGGUACUGACUUGUAACAUGGUAUCGAAGUGUGGUAACUCCCUGCAAUUAACUCGGUCAGGUAAGGAUUCCCCUGUGUCGUCGAUGACGCGGUGGUCGGGGGUCAGGUCCGACGCUUUAACAUAAUAACAUGCCGUUACAUGGCAGUGGCUGCAAUACCCUCGACUCUCAUCCGCAAAAAAAAAAGGAUUACCCUCGACUCUUUAUUGAACAAACUUAUGCAAUAAUAACUGAUGCAAAAAUGGCAACAAAGGAGCAUGCAAUGAUGGAGCUAUUACUUCGGUGGGUAACCAUUCCACAAGGAGCUUGCAAUGAUGUAGCCAUAAACAUACCACCGAAUGUUGCCCGUGACGCUUGUUUUCAUCUGUAUAAUAGCCAUGAAUAUAUCCGACACACCUAUAAUAACUCAAAUAACCCCUCACAAAAAAAAAACUGAAAUAAUAAAUAUAUGUCUAUGUGUUGCCUGUGGUGCUCAAUGUUUUCCCUCUUGUUCUCCCCAGCGAAGAGUUGGGCACAGAGAAGUAUGAAUGUGGGCAGAUGUAUAUGUCAUCGAGUGGAGCAUAUGCUAUGUAAAUAGUAGCAUGAAGCCACGAACACUAUAUAACUGAAUGCAUAAAUAAGUUCAAAAGAAUGGCAUUUCAUAUAUUGAUAUGCAGAAUCUUAAUUACUAGGCUACUAGCUAGCUAGCAACUUGGAUACUAUAAAACAUUGAAAUUUGGCAAAGCCGUAUAUUCCAGAAAGAAAGAAUAUGUUGUAGCCUGCUCUCUCUCAGAGAAGAUUUGUGAAAGAAAAACGAAAUUAGACAAGGGAAGCGAGCACCAAAAUUCUAUGCCAACAUACAUACUCCCUCCAUUUUAAAAUAAAUACCGCUGCGUUAAUACUAAAGUUUGGUCCCGCAGCAAGCAUGAUAAGCGAUUCCAAACCUACCAGCAAAAAAAAAAAAAGUACUAAAGUUAUAGUGACUUAGGCCGCGUUCGGACUCCCUCUCCGCUCCAAGGAGGUUGCCGAACAGACACUUAAUACUAAAUUAACGAUACUUAUUUUCAGACAGAGUAUAUAGGAGGAUGCAAUGAUCGGCACAACUGCAACAGUUAACACAUAAGUAGACAAACAGUAAUAAGGUAGAGUGAUGUAGUGAUGAUGAAGAUACCAGUUUUAUUGCAGUAACAAGCUAGUCGAUGAAAAACACAAGCCUACUUUCAGUAUCUAUACGAGUAGGUUAAUUAAGCAGCACGAACUACUUUCCGGUUACAAAAAGCACACCUCACUGCCUCAUAUAUUAGGGGGGAUACAUUCAUAUAUACUGUAGCUCUUGCCGGGCAGGUUCCAGAUUAGUUUCGCCGGCGAUCAGGCCCGAACGUGCACUUCAGGCAGCAGGCGCACAGUCAUAGUCGUCAUCAUCGUCGUCGCCGUCCGACUCGGCCUUCCUAUGCCGCCCGCCGCACCAGGCGUCACACGGCACGGUGGCGUAAACGGCAUAGUCGGGAAUGCGUCCGUCUUGGACGACGAUGAGGCUCAUGACCUUCGACGCCGGUGCCAUGACGAGGAGCUAGCUUCGAGUCUAAGCGCAAGCUAGCUAUAGCUGGUACUGGCAGUCGUGAUGUGGCUGUUGUGGACUUGUGGUGUGUGUUAUCUUCAGAGUAUAGCCGCGUAUGGUGUGGGUUUUAUAGGACGACAGGAUGUGUGGAGAAAUGUGGCGGCACGCGGCGGGUUGCGCCAGGAGCGUGCGUCGGACAUGCCGCUGCGUGCAUGGCCUUGGCGCGGCACGGGCGCGGCCGUGCACACUCAGCACUUCAGCAGCCGGGGAGCCACGGCGGCACCGCCAUGCCGCUGAGCGCUGACAGGUGAGCGCCCGGGACCGGCGCGGUCUACAUGCCAGUGCCUGCGGCGGCUGCGGUACCGGGUGGCCCGGAUCGCCCGACGUGGUGGAGGAAUCGCGAGGAGGAUGGAGGGCCAGCCGGGCAGCGAGCUAACGGGAGAUGCCAAAAAGUUAGAACCGUCGACGCAAAUCUGUGUAGAUAUUUCGCACUUUAUUGCAGUUCAGUGCGGAUAUAUUCUGUCGUCUGCAUGCGUUCGUUGCGUCUGCUUCUUCCCUCCGGCGAUCAAUGUCAAUCCCAGUCGCCACACGGGCGGUACGUGCUCAAAAACAUGUUUUCGGUACGUUGAUGAUCGAUCAUGGUCGAUCCGUCGUUGCCGAAUACGGCAGUACCGCAUGGAGUGCCGACUAUUAAUAACAUGGUCACACUACUGGAAUCGGCAACGUUGUCUAGUGUCGGGAGAUUGCCUGCUCCAAUGUUGACAUCUAAAACAGACACAUUAUUUGUUCGCGGACCCGUGAACACCAAUUCACGGACACUGAUGCGGAAGACGACCAUCCAAUAUCAUCGUGUCAUGGUGGAGGAGAGAGACAGAGGAUGUAUGAAUUUCUGGGGUGACGGUUUUUGGUUGGCUAGACGGUUGUCCGGACUCUCGCAAAAUCUCCUUCCUUUAAUUUACUUCUAGUUUGAGAGAGUUUGUAAGUCUAGACGUGUUUUGGACACUUGAAAGAUAGCAUUGGAUGGCAAAAAGUAUCUGAACCAGGACAUAUAGGGAUGAUUUGACGGUGUGCAUUGAAAAUGCCCUUAUCCGGGAGCUCGACAAUGAGCACCGUUUACCGAGUGGCCACCAGGUAAACUCCCCAAACGUGAAAAGCUCAAAGUUAAGCACCGUUUAUCGACCUUUACAUGACACAUAGUAUUAGAAAACCUCAGCCUCAAAGGUGGACUACUCCCAGAUCGUCAUGGGAACAUCAAAGGGUUGAUGUACUGGUCGAUGGAAAUCAGUUCCAAAAAAAGGUCGAUGAAAAUUGAUUCCCUCCUUCGGCAACGUGGCAGAACAUGGCCAAAACCUAGGGAAAACCAGGCAAAAAUAAAAUGCCAAAAAAGCUUAAAAAACUAUCUAGACCCAAAAAAAGAGCGCAAGAAAAGACCGAAAGUCAAAGAAAGCAACCAACAUGCGCUACACAUUAGGGCAAUUACCCUUUUGGAAGCUCCGUAAGGUAUCCAUGGGUUAGUUGCUGUUGCUGGUGUGGGGAGCUCGGGAACGGUGGCUAGUGCUGCGCUUUCUCAUUUUCUACUCUCUUCGUCCCACAAUGUGAGACAUUUUUGUAAGGUUUCUUGCGUUUUAUGAAUUUUGUGAUUCAUAUAACAUGCAAAUCCACUCGUCGUUCUACGAUUGACGACGGGGUUGUACUAUCUAGGAUGUUGGCGGUCUGUUUGAUUUGAGCCCCAAGUAGCCCGACCGAUAUAUUUGCAUGACCAAAUUUUUAGUAAGAUGGUGUUGUUUGGUUUAUAGCCAUUGUACCAAAUUUUUGGUAAAGUUGUUGGACUUCCAUUUGGUUUGGAACCAACUGAGUCUGCGUAUCGCAACGUGUAUUGGGUUAGGGCUUGGUUUAAUUAAUUCUGGUUUACUUUCAGCAAGUUUGCACACUGCAACAUGUAUGAUUGGGUUAGUGCUUGGUUUAAUGCUGGUUUACUUUCAGUGUUAAGUUGCUAAAAGAGUGAGAUGCAUAUAUCAAUUGAGGUCUCUAGUUUAAUCAGCCCACAUUCAAUUGAGGUCUCUAGUUUAAUCAGCCCACAUUCAAUUGAGGUCUCUAUUUAGAAUUAGAUCACCCUUUGAUGGGAUCAAUAAUUUCUUAAGAGUUCUUAAAUUAUAUUCCUUAAAUUCACUAUGCUCUUGAAUUUUGGAGCUCUUAUAUGAUUGAAGUAUUAAAUUUUGGAUUUAGUUCAUGAUUUUAACCGGGUCAAUAUUUUUUCAAAUCAACCAGCAGCAACCAACCUAUGAAAACAUGUGAGCCCGCGCACCCUCUCGCCACCUAGACAAAAGAUGUGCCAACAUGUAAUACCGUAGCACUAAUAUAAUAUAUGCAUCCACCGACACAGAAAAUUGCCACACCUAAAUAUGGGUUAAAUAGUAGAUAACACCGAAUCACAUAGCGGAAUGCCCAUCAAAACACCUCACUAUAAAAAAAGGACACACUCCAUCGUCUCUCCCACUCGCCAAAUCAAAUAUUCUUGAGUUUUAAAUGUUUCAAAAGUGAAUUUUUCAUUAACUUUGAUCAAGUUCAGAACCAAAAAUAUCAACAUCCACGUAUAUCUAAUACACUAUGCUCCAUAAUUGUAGAGGUCUCACAAUCAGUUGACGUUUUCAAUUCGGAAUUGAGUCACUCAAUUUUGACUGGAUCAACAAUUUCUAAAGAGUUCUCAAAUUCAAUUCUUUUAAUUCAAUAUGCUCUUGAAUUUUGUAGCUAUCUUAUAUGAUUAAGGUAUUUAUAUUUGUAUUUCUUUCAUGAUUUUGACCGGGUGAACAAUUCUUCAAAUCAAUCGGUAGCAACUGACCUAUAAAAACAUAUCACCCCACAACACCCUCUGGCCACAUAGAAAAAAGAGGUGCCAACAUGUAAUACCGUAGCACCAAUAUAAUACAUGUAGCCACCAACAAAGAGAAUUAACACACAAAAAUAUGGGUUAAUUAGUAGAUAACAUUGAAUCACACAACGGAAUGCCAACCAAAACACCGCACUAUAAAUAAAAAGAAGACACACUCCGUCGUCUAUCCCACUCUCCAAAUCAAAUAUUCCCGAGUUUCAAAAUAUAAGGUGCAUUAUUUUUUUGGAAAGUGAAAUUUCAUUAACUUUGACUAUGCCCAGAGCCAAAAAUAUCGACAUCCCCGUAAAUCUAACACACUAUGCUCCCUAAUUUUAAAGGUCUCACAAUCAAAUGACGUCUUCAAUUUGGUUGGGUCACUCGAUUUUGACCCGGUCAACAUUUUCUUAAUGCAUCUCAAUAAUUUUAUAAAUCAAUCGGCAGCAACCAACAUAUAAAAACAUAUCAUCCCGCAACGCCCUCUUGUCACCUUGAAAAAAGAGGUGUCAACAUGUAAUAUUGUAAUACCUUUAGUCCCGGUUUGUGUCUCAAACCGGGACUAAAGUCCUCUGCCUAUACAUAGCACAACCCCCCUCUCCACUCUUCCUUGCAUUUUUCUUGGAUGGAGGAUUGUGGGUGUGUGCUAGCUCUCCACUUUUUUUUUAUGCACUAGAGGUGUUUGUUGAAAUGUGUGUUAGAGCGAUGCCGCCUCAGUUCACCGAACACAACUACGAUAUGAGAUGCCUGAGCCACGCUUAAACCUCUUCCUCUUUAUUUCUACUUAUUCUAAAAGGUUAGCAACUAUAUUUCCUCGUUUAGGCCGUGCGGUACUAAUUUUUAGGAUCGUAAUUGUAUUUGAUAUACUGUCGUAUAACGCAGAUGAGCCAUCCAUGGAUGUACGGUGAUCGACGCACAGCCGCUUACAGAGAAGGCGUGCAUUCUUUUCGAGAUGCAGCCGAUGCGAACAAGCAUGGUGGUGGCUUUAUGUUUUGUCCAUGUGUUGAAUGUCGGAAUGAGAAGGAUUACACUUCCUCAAGAGUCAUUCAGAGCCACCUGCUUCGGUCCGGUUUUAUGUCGGACUAUAAUGUUUGGACCAAGCACGGAGAAAGAGGGGUUAUGAUGGAAGACGACGAUGAAGAAGAAAAGAACGAUGAUGACAACUACCGAUCUAUGUUCCCUGAGUAUGCUGAUACCGCAAUGGAAGACAAUGAAGAAGAAGAUCAGGAUGAAGAACGGGAACCAGAUGAGCCUGCUGAUGAUCUUGGCCGGGUCAUUUCUGAUGCACAGCGAGGUUGCGACACAGAAAAGGAGAGGUUACAGUUCGAGCAGAUGUUACAGGACCACAACAAAUUGUUGUACCCAACUUGUGAAGAUGGCCAGAAGAAGCUGGGUAGCACACUGGAAUUGCUGAAGUGGAAGGCAGAGACCGGUGUGACUGACUCGUCAUUCGAGAAGUUGCUGGUACUAAUGAAGAAGAUGCUUCCAAGAAAGAACGAAUUGCCCGCCAGCACGUACGAAGCAAAGAAGCUUGUCUGCCCUCUAGGAUUAGACGUGCAGAAGAUACAUGCAUGCCCUAAUGACUGCAUCCUCUACCGCGGUGAGAAGUACGAGAAUAUGGAUAAAUGCCCGGUAUGCACUGCAUUGCGGUAUAAGAUCAGAAAAGAUGACCCUGGUGAUAUUGAGGGCGAGCCACCCAGGAAGAGGGUUCCUGCCAAGGUGAUGUGGUAUGCUCCUAUAAUACCACGGUUGAAACGUCUGUUCAGAAAUAAAGAUCAUGCGAAGUUGUUGCGAUGGCACAUGGAAGAUCGUAUGAAAGACGAUAAGUUGAGGCACACCGCUGAUGGUCGGCAGUGGAGAAAAAUCGAGAGAGAGAGUUCCCGAGAUUUGCAGCUGACGCAAGGAACUUAUGGUUAGGUCUGAGUACAGAUCGCAUGAAUCCUUUUGGGGAGCAGAGUUGCAGUCACAACACCUGGCCCGUUACUCUAUGUAUCUACAACCUUCGUCCUUGGUUGUGCAUGAAGCGGAAGUUCAUUAUGAUGCCAGUGCUUAUCCAAGGUCCAAAGCAACCCGGCAACGAUAUUGAUGUGUACCUAAGGCCAUUAGUUGAUGAACUUUUACAGCUGUGGGCCAAACCAGGUGUACGUGUGUGGGACGAGCACAAACAAGAGGAAUUUGACCUUCGAGCGUUGCUUUUCGUAACCAUCAAUGAUUGGCCUGCUCUUAGUAACAUUUCAGGACAUUCAAACAAGGGAUUCAAUGCAUGCACGCACUGUUUGGAUAAGAUAGAAAGUAUAUAUCUGGACAAAUGUAGGAAGUAUGUGUACCUGUACAAUCGUCGUUUUCUUCCGCCCAAGCAUCCCUUAAAGAAAAAAGGCAAGCAUUUCAAUGGCAAGGCAGAACCCCGGGGGAAGCCUGUCAUCCGUACUGGUGCUGAAGUAUUUGAUAUGGUCAAAGAUUUAAAAGUAAUCUUUGGAAAGGGUCCUGGCAGCCAACCUGUUCCUAACGGCCCUGAUAAGCGCGUACCCAUGUGGAAGAAGAAAUCUAUAUUUUGGGAGCUACCCUACUAGGAAGUCCAUGAGGUCCGCUCGGCAAUCGACGUGAUGCACCUGACGAAGAAUCUCUGCGUGAAUAUUCUAGGCUUCCUGGGCUUGUAUGGGAAGUCAAAAGAUACACCGGAAGCACGGGAGGACCAGGAACGUCAUAAAGGAAGAGAUGGCAUGCAUCCAGGGCAGUUUCAAGGGCGUGCCAGCUACGCACUUACUAAGGAAGAGAAGGAAAUCUUCUUUGAAGUCCUUUUCAGUAUCAAGGUCCCGACUGGCUUCUCGUCGAAUAUAAAGGGAAUCGUAAAUAUGAAAGACAAAAAAUUCCAAAACCUAAAGUCUCAUGACUGCCACGUGCUUAUGACGCAAUUGCUUCCGGUUGCAUUGAGGGGAAUUCUACCGGAAAAUGCUCGCCUGGCAAUUGUGAAGGUAUGUGCAUUCCUCAAUGCAAUUUCUCAGAAGGUAAUCGAUCGAGAAAGUCUAUCAGGGUUACAGAUUGAUGUGGUCCAAUGUCUGGUCAGCUUUGAGUUGUUGUUCCCGCCAUCCUUCUUCAAUAUAAUGACACACCUCCUAGUUCACCUAGUCGAAGAGAUUAGAAUUCUCGGUCAUGUGUUUCUACACAAUAUGUUCCCCUUCGAGAGGUUCAUGGGAGUCUUAAAGAAAUAUGUUCGUAAUCGUGCUAGGCCAGAAGGAAGCAUCUCCAAGGGCUAUGGAACAGAGGAGGUCAUUGAGUUUUGUGUGGACUUUCUUCCUGACCUUAAGCCGAUUGAUGUUCCUGAAUCUUGGUAUGAGGGUAGGCUGACAGGAAAAGGCACACUAGGAAGGAAAGCAAAAUUAUGUAUGGACGGGCAUUCUUUCUCUCAAGCACACUACACAGUUCUACAUAAUUCCACCGUGGUGGCUCCGUAUAUCGUGAGACACAAGAAUAUUCUACGCUCCGAAAACCCGGGGAAGGCUGACUCUUGGAUUAAAGGGGAACACGAGAAGACUUUCGGCAGUUGGUUGCAGACACAUCUCAUGAAUGACGACACCGUUGGAGAUCAGCUAUACUGUUUGGCCAGGCCACCAUCUUCGACUAUAUGUACUUUCCAAGGGUAUGAGACAAAUGGGAAUACAUUUUACACGGUUGCCCGAGAUAAAAAGAGCACCAACCAAAAUAGUGGUGUCCGCUUUGAUGCAACAGACGAGAAUGGGCACUGUUUGGAAACAUAUUACGGGUACAUAGAGGAGAUAUGGGAAUUUGACUAUGGACCUACUUUUAAGAUCCCUUUGUUUCGAUGCAAAUGGGUGAAGCUGACAGGAGGCGGGGUAGUUGUAGACCAAAAGUACGACAUGGCAACAGUGGAUCUCAACAAUCUUGCGUACAUGGACGAACCAUUUGUCCUAGCCAAUGAUGUCGCUCAGGUUUUCUAUGUGAAGGACAUGUCUACAAAAACGAGAAGAAGAAAUCAGCAAAAGAAGAUAUCGUCCGAUGAGCCAAAACGCCACAUAGUUCUUUCAGGAAAAAGAAACAUCGUGGGAGUAGAUGAUAAGACAGACAUGUCAGAAGAUUAUAAUAAGUUUCAUGAAAUUCCGCUCUUCAAAGUGAAAACUGACCAAAGCAUCCUACUGAAUGAUGAAGAUUCUCCAUGGCUACGACCUAGAAGAAAAUAGAAAUAAUAGAUAGGAAUAUUGGUGCAAUAAUGUAAUAAUGUAUUAAACCUUUUAUGUAAUGCAUGUAUGGAAUGUACUAAAUUUCAAACACUUUUCAUUUUCAUAGUUUUAUCAAAUUCUCAAAUACACAAAAAGAAUUUUAAUAAACCUUUGUAAGAGAUGAGUUCUCGUUCGAAACCCUCAUACUUCGAGAGAGAUUGUCCAUUUUGUACACGAAGUGCAUCCAGUUUUUGUCGUAGCCCUCUCAACUUUUUAACACAUGCUAUGUGGGUGAAAUGAUGAUAGCAUGCCAACUUUCAACAUUUUCAGAGUUCAUUUGUAGUGCUUUUCAAUUUCAGGGUCAACUAGCUCAAAAAAAUAAGUAAAUGCACGAAGAAUACCAAAUGAAGUCAAAAAUUGUUGAAAUUUUGUGAUGUGCCUUUGAAUGGUGCAUUUUGAACACACAAAAAGUAUGGAGUUCAAAUAAGUUUAAAAAAAUGAAUUCCCUUUGUAAGAGAUGAGUUCUCGUUCGAAACUCUGAUACUUCGAGAGAGAUUGUUCGUUUUGUACACGAAGUGCAUCCAGUUUUUGUCGUAGCCCUCUCAACUUUUUAACACAUGCCACAUAACCUUAUAGGAGCAUACCACAUAACCUUAGCAGGAACCUUCUUCCUGGGGUAUCGUCAUCGCCCUCAACAUCAUCAGGGUCAUCCUGUCCGAUCUUGUACCGACAUGCAGUGCAUACCGGGCAUUUAUCCAUAUUCUCGUACUUCUCACCGCGGUACAGGAUGCAGUCAUUAAUGCAUGCAUGUAUAUUCUCCACAUCUAAUCCAAGAGGGCAGAUAGACUUCUUUGCUUCGUACGUAGUCUCGGGAAAUUCGUUAUCCUUUGGAAGCUUCGGCUUCAAUAUUUUCAGUAACUUCUCAAAUCCCUUGUCAGAUAAACCAGUUUCUACCUUCCAUUUCAAUAGUUCCAGUGUGGUACCAAGCUUUGUGCUGCCAUCUUCGCAAUUUGGGUACAACAACUUUUCAUGAUCCUUUAGCACGACCUCCAAUUUCAGCUUCUCCUUUUCUGUAUCGCAUUCUCUCUUUACAUCAGAAAUGACCCGACCAAGACCAUCAACGGGCUCAUCUGAUGCCGGUUGUUCUUCACCUCCUUCUUCUUCAUUGUCUUCCAUUGUAGUAUCACUGUAUUCUUCAGUGAACAUAGGAUAGUUGUCAUCACCAUCUUCUUCUUCAUUGUGUUCCAUCCUAACCCCUCUUUCUCCGUGCAUGGUCCAACAAUAAUAUGUGGGUAUGAAACCUCUCUGAAGCAAGUGGAGAUGAAUGUUUUUCGAUCUAGAGUAUUCCUUCACGUUUCGACAAACAACACAUGGACAAGGCAUAAAAUUAUCCACUUUGUUUGCCUUAGCCACAUCGAUAAAUUUGUGCAUGCCUUUUAUAAAUCCGGAACCGCGUCGUUCGCCGUACAUCCAUCACUUCCGUGCAUCGAUCUGGCAUCAUACAUGAAUAGUGAAAUGACCACCGUACAUUGACACAUGCAAUAUUUUUGUAUCAAUUACAGAUGAAAAGGAUAGGGUUGCUAACCUCGGUCGAGGAUACCAUUUUGUGUGAACUUAAGUGUGAUUCGGGCAUUAGUCGAGGUUCUUAAUGUACUCCGAAGUGUGUCGAUCACCGUACAUCCAUUGGCGAUUCAUCUCUAUUAUGAAAUUAAAUAUAUCAAAAAACCAUUGCAGAACAUAUGACCAAAUUAAUACAAGUUCAUCAUCACAUUAAAGCCAAAGAACAGUAGUGAUCAAAUGUUAUUAUUGCAAAAAAUAAAUACAUAAAGUUUUCUCAUAAAACAACAUACAACUAUGUAAAACAUUUAAAUAAAACAAAAAAUGCGAUCAAAAUCGCAACUAAGGUAACAAUUGACCAAACAGCAUAAUGAUACCAAGCCUCUUUAUCAAUGGCAUAUUUUCUAAUAUUUCUAAUCUUCAAGCGCAUUUUAUCCAUCUUCAAGCGCAUUGCAUCCAUCUUCAACCGCAUCACAUCGUUCUUCAUCUUGCGAUCAUCGAUGACAUCGGCGACAUGAAACUCCAGUUCCAUAUUCUUAUCCUCAAUUAUUUUCAAUUUUUUCUUCAAGUAUUUGUUUUCUUUUUCAACCAAAUUUAACUUCUCGAGAAGAAUUUCUAUGUGGUUUGGAAUUUCCGGUUCACAUACCUCCUAGAUUAAAAAAUAUAUGUCACAUUGGUCGUCAUAAUUGUCAUAAACACUAAAUAAAACAAAUAGUUAUAAAAGAUAAUAUAUACCACAUCCGAAUCAUAGACAGGACGAGGACCGACGGAGGCGGAUACCAAAACCAUCGCACUAUAUAAUAACAAAAAAUAAUGAAAGUGAGUAAUUUAUACAAGUAUGUAUCUAAAUCAUACAAGUAAGACUUUUUUCUUUUAAAAAGAAGAUAAGAACAAGAGGCUCACCACGGUGGUGCUCGCGACGAGAUCGGCGCGGGGCGAUCGACAAUGGUGAGGACGGGCACGGGACGACACCCUACACAUGUGCAGACUCUAAGAAGUUAAUUUGAGCAUUUGAAACCAGCUACACUAGCAGUGACAAAUGAAAGGAUGAAGUAGCUAACCUUUUAAAACACUUGUGCAGUUGGUGCACGGCCAAACCUAGACAAAUAUUAAGGAAAAUGGAGCUUGGAGGUCGAGCUUGGAGAGGAGAAAGCUUAAGUAGAGUGGCUCGGGCAUUUCAUAGAACACGUCAUGUGCAUGAACUAGAGUGGCAAGAGCAUGGCAUGGUCACACUUCAACAACCAAAAAACAGGGGAGAGGGUGGGCAGGCGCGAGGGUUUAUAUAGGCAACACUUUAGUCCCGGCUUUUGUCUAAAACCGGGACUAAUAGCCUAACCUUUAGUCCCGGUUCUUGCCACAAACCGGGACUAAUGCUCCGCGGCACGCCCCUGCUUCCCGCCUUUUGGUCUGCCGAAAAAGGGCCUUUAGUCCCGGGUCGUGGCUCCACCCGGGACUAAAGGGGGUCUUUAGUCCCGGAUCGAGCCCCGAACCGGGACUAAAGAUCCACCUAUAUAAGCGGGAGUCAGAAAAUUUCCAACCCAAAUCGCAUUUCCUUCUAUCCUUCUUCCUCGUUCUCCUGCCCAGCGCGGCACAGCGACGAACUCGGCGACGCCGUCAGGCUCCCCGCCGUCCUGCUCGCCGCCGCCUGUCGUCGCCGUCGUCCUCCUCGCCGCGCGCCGCCCUCCUCGCCGUGCGUCGCCGUCCUCCUCGCCGCGCGCCGUCGACACCUCCGGCCGGUAAGCCCCCCACCCCCUCCUCCCCAACACUCUGACCAGUAGAAGAAAAGAAGAAAAAGGAGAAGAAAGGAAGAAAAAGGAGAAGAAAAGAAGAAAAAGGAGAAGAAAGGAAGAAAAAGGAGAAGAAAAGAAGAAAAAGGAGAAGAAAAGAAGAAAAAGGGAAGAAAGGAAGAAAAAGGAGAAGAAAAAGGGAAGAAAACAAGAAAAAGAUUUUUUUUGUCAUUUAAUUCCUAUUGUUAUUAGGUUUGUGCUAGAUUAUUAGGGUUAGUAAUAUGUAGAAUUAGGAAAAAGGAAAAUAAGAAGAGGAGGAGAAGAAAAGAAGAAAAAGGAGAAUAAGAAGAGGAGGAGAGGAGAAGAAGAGGAAAAAUAGAAGAAGAGGAGAAGUAGAAGAAGAGAAAAAAAUUAGAAGAGGAGGAGAGGAGAAGUAGAAGAAGAGAAGAGGAGAAGUAGUAGAAGAAGAGGAGAAGAAGAAGUAGAAGAAGAGGAGAAAUAGAAGAAGAGGAAAAAUUAGUAUAGGGUUACAAGAAGAAGAAAUUUUUUUUGUCAUUUAAUUUUGCUAUUGUAUAGUGUAUAUGCUUAAGUGUUAAUAGUGUUUCUUAGAUUAUUGCUUAAUUUUGCUAUUGUAUAUGCUUAAGUGUUAAUAGUUUAAUUUUGCUAUUGUAUAUGCUUAAGUGUUAAUAGUUUAUUUUUAGCAAGAAAAUUAAUAGAACUAGUUUAAUUUUGAUAUUGUAUAUGCUUAAGUGUCCGAGACUAGGCUUCGCCUGGCUAGUAUUUUAGAGUUUAGGUUCUAGCCAAGACCCGGGACUAAAGAUCCUCCUAUAUAAAACGACACUUCGAAGUUUCCAACCCCUCUUAUAUAGUUUGUUAGUUUAUUAGUUAAUCAAAUGUCCGUUUUUUGCAGAACUAUGGAUCCACAUAUCAGGAACCUCGAAGAGGAAGAACUUCUCAAAGAUAUAAUCAAAGACGGCCCCGACGUUGAACCAGCUGAAUCUCCGUAGUCAUAUCUAAACCCCUCCAAAUAUGGAAUGGAGGUCGAGCGACACGAAGAUGAAGCCAAUGGGGCAGGAGAUAGGUCCAAUGACGAAGAAGGUGAUAGCUCCACUGAUGGAGAAGCCGGUGGAGAAGCCGGUGAAGAAAUAAUAAACUCCGGCGAGGUAUACAUAUGAAGUUCGACAAUCACUUGUAAUAUGUGAAAAAUAUUGGAGAUAGCUCUAUAUUGUAUGCAUAUACAUUCAUUUGACGAAUGUUUCUCCCUCUUAGGCCUCCACAUCGAGCAAAGCUACGAAACGAGGCCCGACUAGAAAGUUGGAUGCACGGACGCAUUACACCUUUGAGGUGAUAUUGCCUACGGACGAACCCAAGCUUCCUAAGAAUACUGCUGACACAUUUAAGAAGCAAUGCAGAGUUCUCGUUAGGGAUCACGUCCCGAUCAGCGUUUGGGAGUGGAACAAGCGCAAAGGGGCAGCCGAUAGUGACUAUGUCGCUGAAAGGUACAAAGAUAAUCUUUGGAAUGAUCUCAUGUCACAUUUCAACCUGCCAGAAUGUGAGAAUGAAGACGCCGCAGACAAACUGAGGGCCAAAGUCAAGCAGUGGACUUUAAAGAAGAUGGCCGAACUGUUCCGUAGCUGGAAGAAGAAGCUAUGGAAAAACUAUCUGAAGACAAAGAAAAGUGCCAGUAUUCGAGGGGUAUCUAGCCAAGCAGGCGAAUCACUCGACAAACGCGAGGCUUCGGUCCUUCUUACCCGUGGUGGCUUGGGUUUGCCAGAGACCAAGACACUUACAGAAGCCGAGAGAGAGCAAAGAAGCGGCGGCAGAGGAUGAGGAGAAUGACAAGUUCAACCAGUUGCUUGCGAGGAUUAACGAGCAACAGAAGCAGAUUGAUGAGCUUAGAGGAGUAGCGCGCCAGGAAGAUCCUGCACUUGAUAUUACCGGCGCACCAUCUAAGCGGAAAAGCAGCGUGGCUGAAUCUGAGGCCCCGCCUGACGAUGCACGAAGAAUGAUAGAGGGCGGUCCCAGCUACCCCGUGGAUGGAAUCAAGGAGUCAACAUCAUGUGAACUCCAUCAGAAAUUCAAGAACAUAUCCAUGAAGGUGGCCGUCAGACAAGCUUUACCUUCUGGUCCUGAUGCACGCUGGCAUGGCCGUGAGAUUCCAGCUGUCUUUGCUAAAGUCGGGGUGGAUGAAAUCAUGGCGGGGUUUCAUGAUAUGGAGCUCGACAUAGCUGGACCCGAAGAUGAGAGGACACUCGGAGAAGUACUGGGUGGAGUCAUCCUAUGGGACAAGAACUACAUCAAGCUUCCAGGCUCGGCCCCAAGGACAACACCGCCUUCGAGUCGUCGCAGGUCACCUACACCUCCAUUACCUCCAAGCCCUCCACAUGACGUAGUCUAGCACAACACGAGUCCAUCUCGAUCACCGCUGCCGGACUUGGGUCGUCCGUCUCCGCCACCGCCCGCUCCGGAUACUAAGCGGGAGCGUGCCACCAAGAACGCUCCGUCGACGAUUUCUAAGCGACGGAGCCCCCAAAAGCGCAAAUGGUCACCCCUCCCAAAGGUACCUCAUGCUAAUCUUCCUAUCAGACCUUAUGAUCGUACCCCCGAGGAAAAUGCCAGGAUAGCAAAGGAACAUCAUGAUGCGCAGAUGAAAAAGAAGGAACCAGAGCCUCGCCCGGAAUACACCGAGAAGCAAAUAGCAUUUGCAAAAUACUUCACGACCCUUCCAUCACAGUAUGACUUACACCAUAAGCCUGAUGACUAUACACGCACAUUGCAGAAGGAAGUGAAAAAGAGCAGAUCACGUGCAAGUGCAAGUGGGAGCAAAUCAAGUUCAACUACAAGCAAGAAAAAAUCAGACGUUUCUCAACUUGGACAACAGGCCAAACAGUCGAUCCCACCCCUCAAGGUGUUAACCGAGAAUGUCCCCCCCCCCCGGUGCAGGGGCAAGAUUUUGAAUUAGCAAAGAAGUGGGCGGCUGAAUGGGGUGUCUCGGUUGAAGAUGUUCUGGCUUCCCAAGACGACAGGUUACCCAAGGCUGUGGUAGCCCCUAAGCCACAGUUUGUCAUGAGAGAACCUUUGGUCAGCAAAGAUGAUCUCCCAAUAAAUAUGCGUUACUUGCAUACAUGGUACUUAAGUGAAUCAAAGAAUGGGAGAACGAUGAUCGUGGUGAGUGUCCCACGGGAGUACUUCGGCCGCCCCGAAGAAAUCCAUAUCAACUUUGAUGAACUCUUCCAUAUGUACAAUGGCGACGCCCUCGACAAAUCGCUUAUGAGUUGCUAUUGUCUGUAAGUUUUUCAAUUCGUUGUCUACAUAUAACUUGUUUAGUUAUUUCAAUUCAUUGUCUAUAUAUAACUUGUACUCUAUUAUGCAGAAUGAAGAUUCUGGAUUGUAAAAGUAAGAACAUCCUAAAUAUUGGGUUUAUUGACCCAGAUAAAAUACAUAUAGCGACACUAACUGAUAAACCUAAGGAGACGGAGGAAAACCUUCUAAGGUUUCUAACAGAUCAAAAAUUUUGUGACCACAUACUGUUUCCAUACAACUUCAGGUGGGGGUCUUUACUCUGUUGUGUCCAUUCACUUAUAAGUGUAAUUGAUAAGUUACUGACACACACUCACACACAUAUAUAUAUAUACAUGUGCAGCUUUCAUUGGAUUCUGUUGGACAUUCAAAUUGAUAAGGGAAGAGUUGAUGCCUUCGACCCAUUAUCGAGACCCUUGGAACAAUUCCAAAGCCUGCAGGACAUGCUCCAAGGGUAAUUUCAAUCAUUCUUGCGCUCUAUCGGUCUCUUUCGAUGAUUUUCUGAUAUAUCAAUUAAUAAAAAACUUAGCAAAUCAUUAUCCUUGUCGGGCAGGGUUUGGAAGCGGUUCAAGUGCGUGACUCCCGGUAUCGAGCCUGAGAAGCUGACCUUUAGAGCGGCUCAGGUAAGUAGUAGUAUGAUAUACUUCUAUUUUCAAUACAUUUAUGAUGCUAGAUUAUUAUUUUGAUUAUAUAUAUUCUAUUCUCGUAAAGUGCGACCAGCAGCCACGGGGGACGCAUCUAUGCAGAUACUAUGUUUGCGAGACCAUUCGCACGUUUACCUCUGAGCACAAGGAUCACAAAUUCGACGUAAGCAAUGAACAUUCACACCUCUAUUUUUUACCCGUCAUUCUUUGUUAUCAUGAUUGAUAUUCAUAUUCAUCUCCUCUUCUUAUAUAGUACACGGCCAUGAGGACGAAGGUCCUACCAGAGCAACGCGCGAUUGCUGUUGCAGAGGAGCUUGCGACCUUUCUGAAGACGGAAGCUAUAGAUGACAAAGGAUGAUUUAGUGNAUUGUUUUACCUAGGUUCACGUGCUUAGCAUUGUUUCUUCAUGGGUCACCAAACUCAUCUCUUUCCUAUUAAUUAGCUUGUCACAUCAGAUUUUUUAUCUAUGUAUCAGUUUUAACAUCUGUAUAAGGUGGAGCAUUCGGAGUAGCCUAAUAUGAUUGUCGGUACUCAAUAGUACAUGGAAUACACAGCAGUGAGUGGGCCAUGACACUUUAAAUUCGUAUUAGAUAUGCAAUCGAAAAGAUCUUAUAUUAGUUUGCAGAGGUAUUACUGAUCAAAAUGUCAGUUUUAUUGAAGGCCGGUCUCAAACAGUAUAGUGAUGUUCUGAUCAAGAUAUCAGUUUUAUUGCAGUAACAAGCUAGAGGAUGAAAAGCACAAGCCUACUUUCAAUAUCUAUACGAGAGUAGGCAACUAAGCAUAGCUAAAUUGAGUAUAUUUAGCCAGCAGCGCCAGCACACGGUGGGUUAAUUAAGCGGUGCGAACUACUUCCCGGUUACACAAAACACACCUCAUUGCCACGUAUAUUAGGGGGAUACAUUCGUACUAGCUCUUGCCGUUGGCGGGCAGGUUCCGGAUUCGUCUCGCCGGGGACAAGGCACGAACGUGCACUUUAGGCAGGCGCGCAGUCAUAGUCGUCAUCAUUGUCGUCGUCGUCCGACUCAGCCUUCCUAUGCCGCCCGCCGCAGCAGUCGUCACUCGGCGCGGCAUCGCAAACGGCAUAGGUGGCAAUGCCGCCGUCUUGGACGACGAUGGGGCUCAUGACCAUGGACGCCGGCGCCAUGACGAGGAGCUAGCUUGAGUAUGCAGGCGAAUCACAAGCUUGAGGUCUAAGCCUGGCGAUGCUAGC
rnacentral:lncRNA from 1 species